rnacentral:lncRNA from 1 species
UCCGUGAUGCUCACUCGCCUAUAAAUAGCCCUCGCUGCCUGCCAUUGUUCCUCAAGCCAGCAAGCAAGAAGCACACAGGAAGCUCCUAGCCAACACCAAUCAAGGCCUCCAUCCAAUCCCAAGCAACCUCGAAUAUGUCUUGCUGCGGAGGAAACUGCGGAUGCGGCACCGCCUGCAAGUGCGGCAACGGCUGCGGUGGCUGCAACAUGUACCCCGAGGUUGAGGCCGCCGGCGCCACCCUCCUCGUCUCCGCCACUGCCACUCACAAGGGGUACGUCCCUUCUCUUGACAAAAUUUUCUCCACAGCUCAUACAUCAUCAUGCACUCGAUCUUUUUUUUUUGCGGGGUACGUGCAGGAGCUCCGGCGGCAUGGAGAUGGCGGCCGAGAACGGCGGCUGCGGCUGCACCCAGUGCAAGUGCGGCACCAGCUGCGGCUGCUCCUGCUGCAGCUGCUAGAUCAUUGAUCAUGCAUGCGCCGCGUGCAUCAUAUCUAUGAUCUACGUAUCCAUCUACUACCAUGUAAUGCCACCUGAUCGAGGGUCUUUGUAUGUAUGUAGUAUGUACGCACCUGCCUGCAUGAGCAGAGCGGGUGCCAUUCCAUGCAUGUAAACCCCUAAAUAAAAUCUCCCGUGGUUUUGCUUACAUCGUGUUGUUAGAUCCUCCUCCUAUUAGUGUUGCUUUCGGGUUCUUCUUAUGCACUAGCAGGAUCAGAGGCCGGUCUUUUGUUCUUGGUCUUCUCCUCAAACUGUCGUUUUCCUCUUCUCUAUGGUUCCAUGUGCGGCAGUAUUUUCUUCUUCUGUUGCCGAGUGUUGUAUCAGACUGUACCUUGUUUUGUGGUUUAUUCCUAUCCAUCUCGAAAUAUAGUGCAGGAAUUUAUUUGCAAAAGGUGGAUCUCAACAAGACACGACGGUAUGUGUAUCUUGCAGGAUUUAUUGAUCGGUCUAUCUUAUGCAUCUUAUUAAAAAAAUACAUUAAGGUCUCAUGGUCAAGCCAAAUUAUCAUUGUUUUUCCUUGCAUGCAAAAUGCAGCAAUAAAUCUUCGUCCUUGGCUUGUUUCUCAUUUCACUGCCUACGUUGCAGGUAUCCGACCCUGUUGGAAUCUCCUUUUCUGUCAUUGUGUUCACUUUCUGUGAUGUGAUGUGUGCGCAAAUAUUCCCACAACAACAACAUAAUAAUAAAGCCAUAUACGCAAGCAACCGAAUAAUGGCAAUGAUAUAUUACUGCUCAAGGCGCAUCUCCAAAUCAACCUGUCAUGUCCAUGGCUGCGUCUAAGCACUCGGGGCAGAAAUACUCACUCUCCGCCACUGAUUCAUAUCACCGAAUCCACACGGCCAAAUUACGUCCUCCAUGUUUUAAGCGAUGCCACUAUAUCUCGUGGGAAAAUUGUUUCCACAGUUCGAUAUCCCUCCCUUUGAUGAAAAAAUUCACGCUUGGCUUCUGCAUCACAGAGUGCAGAUAACGAAUAUUGUUUUCUAUGUUCUGAACUGGAACACUAUAUCUUGUGUAAAAAAUUGUGUCAACAAUAUCGAUAUUCCCUCCUAUAAAAUAAAAUCAUCAAUAGCUCACUUCUCUAUAUAACUGGAUGCAAAGUAAUGGGCGGUGUGGAGCACCCAAGACAGCACGCAAAAUAUCGGUGUUAUUUUAACUCCACUACGUAGACAAGUCACUAUAUUUACACAAUUAUGUAAGAAAAAGAGCUCUUUUAUGGUACCCUGUAUUGAAUAUUGACCGUCCAUCUGCAAAGAUCCAAUGGUGGGUACUUAUCUGUACUGGUGAAACUGGAUUAGCAGCAUCGCUAGUACCGCACGUCUCACGUCCACCGGUAUACUGCUCGGAGGGCAUUAUCGGUGACUCUGCAUCACCGGCAGCCGCCCGCCGGGGCUCGCCUCCUCUUCGCCCCCAUGCCCGCUGGGGCGCCUCCUCCCUGCCUUUAAUCCGCUGUGCUAUGCAUGCUUCUAUGGUUUUGGACUUCUGGCAUGGCACCGUGCGCCCCAUCCCCCUUCCACGCUACGGCCGCGAUGUUCUUUGCCGCCCCGCAUGGCUGAGCAGUGAGCACCUUAGCAUCGCGUUUAUUGUGUUGCCUCGUUCAUGACGACAGUGCAUGCCAAACCACCCUGCGUUGACGAUGAGGCCAGGAUGUGUACAACGUCGUGGUCUUCACGGAGAGCUGCGGCUACGAGAGUGCCGGAGCCUGGCGGAACCUCGCCUAUUUUGUGCUAACCAUGCCCUCGCUACGCUCAUGGCCGUCCUCCUUUAUUUUACUACCGCUUGCCUUCAUGAUCGAGCUCUUCAUGGCCUGGAUCACGCUUUACUUUAGCCUCAGCUUGCCGGACGUGGAGCAGCUACUCAUCUGCCUUUGCUGUGAGGUCGACGACCACGUCAUUGUUCAAAAGCUCACCCAGGCAGGGCUCAACAUACCUGUUUCCUCGUCGUCACCCCGCUGUCACAGACUCACAGGAGUGCACGAUGCAUUCCGAAAUAUUGAUUCGCCAGAGCAAUUCCCUUCACGAACACAAGAAGAGCUUUCACCGUCACAUAUACUGCUCCCUCCCCAGUAGCAGUAUAGGGUACCAUAAAAACCCUCAAGAAAAAUAAAUAACUCAGAGAACUGUCUGGCCAUAGAUGGAGCUUUCUACAGAUGGGGACAAGAAUUUGGCACCACCCACUCAAUUUCCCUCUCACCUUUUUGCAUUGCUUUCAUAUGUAAAAAAACAAAAACAAAAUAGUGAGUUGACUUGCGAUCUGCCUUAAAAUGACAAGAUGACGGUUGGGGGUUAAAAAAACAUUCAAAUGCAUUUUAUAUAUUCAUAUGUUUACUUAUUUUGUAUUUGUUUGUGCAUGUCAUAAAAAUCAUCAAUUUCCACAAGCAUACAUAAUACUCAAUGAUCUACAUUGACAAUAGGCUUUGAGAUUUUUCAACGCAUGACAAGAAAAAUCAAAUGAGGUCAGCUGGAAAUUAAAGAUCAGUUUUGACUUCCAAAAAAUUAUGAUCUCUUUUGUCCAAACUUAAAAGGAAUCAUUACAGAAAAUUUGGAGAUUCCAAUUGUUAGAAUAUUUUCCUACAGGACUAGUAGGGCUGGGAACCAUAAUGAUAUUUUCUAUGGCCUAAUUGACAUGUUUAUGUUGAGCCAAAUCUUUUGGAAAUAGUUUCGUUGAUUCAGUGACAACUAUGUGCUUGCACCUAACGCUUGAGAAAAUUCUUGUAUUUUUUCCCUCUUGCAAUAAAUCAACAUCCAUAUUUUACGCAUUUACUCCAUCUUCAAUUCCCACAGAAUUCAACACAGCAUGACCUGAAAUCUGUGUGUUAAGUUUUCCGGUUCCUGUCUUUUUAAAAUGCUGCAAAAGUAUGUGGCAUGUAAUCUUUAAAAAUAGUGGGAGUGUGAUAGUUAUUGAAAUGCAUGUAGGAUGGAAACUAAAAUUUCAGUAAAAUUCAGCUUAUAACACUAAAAUUGAAAAGGUUGCCAAGCCUAUGGCAACCAAGAGCCGCCAAGAUUUCUUAAAUAACAAAUAUUUUCGGCGACCUCCCCCAAAGAAGACAUAGCUUUUUCCUUGUCUUGACAUUCAAAAGCACUGAGUGAGGGGUAUCGGCUGAAUAUAUUCACUAAGGGCAUGCACAAAAGAGAGUUGACUAUUAUUAUUUUGCAAUGCUUUCAGAAUUUAGUUUGAUAUUGGUUUAAUUCAUAGUUCAUAAUUUACCGAGAAAUACCACUACGAGGUCAAGCACCCCUAAACUUGACCGUUAUGGCUGCAUGCAUCAAUGUAUGCCGAGGGCCGCGCGCGGGGGGUCUUGUUUGGAAAAUAAUAAUGAUCUUAUAGUGCAAUGAUUGGUCAUUGCCUAAGGUAUUUCCCUCUGUUCCAAGAUACAAGGUGUAUUUUUUAUUAAAAAAAACAAAAUUCCCUAUGUUUGACCAAAUUUAAAAUAAAACGUCUCUGUGUUUGGAAACCAUUUAUAUUUUUAUAAGCUCGAUCAAACAUAGAAGAUUUGACUUCAGAAAAAAAAAUAGUACAACUUAUAUUAUGAAACGGGAGUUAGUAGGUACACCAAUAAUUCGAUAUACGCACAAAAUGCUGGCUGUAGUUCCUUUCAUGGCUCCUUUGAUGUAAGAAAGAUGCUAGUAGAGACUAGAGACAAAGGGAAUCAAAUUAUGGGAGGAGGCGGCCCUAUCUAUAUUCCUCUUCCCCAAGCGGUUGCUCCCGUCCAUCCUUUGCCAAAAGUGGAGCAUCUCCCAUUUCCUUCUUCAUCUUCUCCUCCUCCUCCUUCCUUCGUAUUCACUCACCUAUAAAUAGCCCUCGCUGCCUGCCAUUGUUACUCAAGCCAGCAAGCAAGAAGCACAAAAGAAGCCAACACCAAUCAAGGCCUCCAUCCAAUCCCAAGCAACCUCGAAGAUGUCUUGCUGCGGAGGAAGCUGCGGCUGCGGCAGCGCCUGCAAGUGCGGCAACGGCUGCGGCGGCUGCAACAUGUACCCCGAGGUCGAGGCCGCCGGCGCCACCCUCCUCGUCGCCGCCACCGCCACCCACAAGGCGUACGUCCCUUCUCCUUCCUCAUAUAUCAUGCACUCGAUCGUAACAAUAUGACUGUAUGUUGAUCUUGGUAUGGGUGGGGUACGUGCAGGAGCUCCGGCGGCAUGGAGAUGGCGGCCGAGAACGGCGGCUGCGGCUGCACCCAGUGCAAGUGCGGCACCAGCUGCGGCUGCUCCUGCUGCAGCUGCUAGAUCAUCGGUCAUGCAUGCACCGCGUGCCUCAUAUCUAUGAUCUAUCUAUAUAUCCAUCUACCACCAUGUAACGCUACCUGAUCACGGUCUUUGUAUGUAUGUACGCACCUGCCUGCAUGAGCAGAGCAGGUGCCAUGCCAUGCAUGUAAACCCCUAAAUAAAAUCUCCCGUGGUUUAACCCCCUAUACAUGUGUUUGUGUUAUAGUCUUAUAGACCAACUUCUGGCCCAUGUUUACUAUGAACUUGCGACUUGCGAGGUGCCUGGGUUGUUAAUAGACCAGCUGGAUGCUCUCUUGAAGCAACGUAUGCACCGCUUGGAGUCGGUGUAUCUUUAUACACAUGUAUUUAUUUUACAGGUGUAUAUCAUCGGCCACACCUGGGAAAAAACGAUGGAUGGAGAAGUGUAAAUUUACAGGGGUAUUGCUCUGUGAAACGAGAAUCGAAUCAGGGCCUUAAGGGUAGGGAUGGCAAUGGGUAGGGUAUGGGCGCGUACGACUUUUUUCUGCCCAAACCCAUACCCAAAUCUUUUUUCUAUACCCAUCUAUUUCAAUAUCCAUGGACACAAAUUGGUACCCAUGCCCAUACCUAUCGGGUAUAUUAUACCCAAUGGAUAUCCAAUGGGUAUAGUAUCUAACAUUGGCAUGAUAAAGGUAAGCCAAGAAAAGGGCCUAAAACUAAAUUUAGGUACUCGGCCAUCACAAUCCGGUUUGCACUUACAUCAAAAUUUUACAAUGUGGAUUGACACACAAAUGUCUUAAUCUUCAUUACAAACUAACUUAAAAAAACAAGUUUCAAACUUGCAAUGCCAAUCACUGUAGGUAUUAUAGGGUUUAAUUUAUUUAUUAAUUUUUCUGGGUAUCCAUUAGGAUACCCAUGGGUAUAAUUUCAUACCCAUACCCUACCCAUGCAUUUUGCGGGUAUGGACACCCAUUACCCAUGGGUAUGAAGUAGUAAAAAGUCUUAUCCAUGCCCACUGUUUUCGGGUAGGGUACCCGCGGGUACCCAUACCCAUGGGCAAAACUGCCAUCCCUACUUAAGGGCGUUUGAUACAUGCGAAUAUUACUGGCCAAAGUUGAGUAUGAGAUACAUACAAUACAAACUUGACACUUUUGAAAGUCGUGCUAUCAAUCAUGAGACGCAUAGUUUAGCCAAAUUCUCGCUUAAUCUUUGUCAAAGGGUGUCACAUCUGGUUUGGCCAACCCCAUGAUCCGAUAUGUAUCCUACUCUCUGUGGUUUUCGAUGAAUAAAAUUUGGUUAAACCCUAAAAAAACUUAUUUGACGCGCCUUAGUUUUUUUCGAGAAUUUUUUUUAAAUCCGUUCAUCAAUCAUGGCAGUACAAAAAUCACAACCAGGUCCAUGAACCACCUAGCGACGACUACACUCACUGGAGCGAGCUAAACGUGCGCCGCCAUUAUCGCCCCUCCCUUACCGGAGUCGGACAAACCUUAUUGUAGUAGACAGUUGGAAAGUUAUCGUGCUAAGACCCUCAAGGACCACCGCACUGCAUAGCAACCAUCGUCGAUGAAAAGAGUUGUAGAUUGGAAAGAUCAAAGCUAUAACCACACAAGCGAAGACGAACAAAAAUGGAUCCAAUAGAUCCACCAAAGUCCAGCACGACAGAAUCCUGUGAGAUCCGGCGGGGACACACCUCCACAUGUCCUCCUCCGAUGUUAUUCGCACCACCGGGACGAGGAUCGGAUGUGGGAGACAUUAUUCCUACCCAGGGACAUCACUACCGUCACACAGCCCCAACCAAGACGUUAAACCUAACAAAAACGAGAACGGGUCCCUCCCGCUGCCGGGGGGCCAAGAUCCUCCGCACUCCGGGGAAUCGGCGCCGGCGGCAACGGGAUGAGAAAGGAAACUUUUCUUGAGAAGGAGGAAAGACAGACACAUACUGUUGUGUCUAAAUUACCGUGUCUUAGUUUGAUGUACUAUUUGCACCAGCUACUUCAUAACUAGAUUGCCAUGGUUGACGAUGGGUGUGUUCCCCUCUACUAAUAGUGCGGCAGUGCCCUAGCGGCGACAACUAUAUCAUGAACAAUUAAAACUUCACGAAAUUGGUGGCCUGGUGACUUAUGCCUGUGCCUAUAUCGCACGCUCUUUUGUGAUGACAAAGAAACAGAUUAUCAUUUUCGGAGGUUAAAUGGAAACAGAUGGAGUGAACCACAUGUAUGUUGUACCAGCAAAACAAUAUUUAAAUCGAUUCGUUGAUGAUUUCCUUGAUAUAAAAUUUGAGGUGUGCUCUACAACACCCCACCCUACCCCCGGAGCUCCUAUUUGGCACGCUAAGCGCUAGCGGUCGAGCCCGUGCGCGUCCCCUUCCCUUGCACACCCAUUUGGGUCGGCCCAUGCGCGGGGCGGGACACGCCGUUUUUAUUUUUUAUUUUUCUUUUAUUUAUUUUUUAAAUAAUUCAGGAUUUCAAAAAGUUUCAAAUUUAAAAAAAAUGUCAACUUUGAAAAAACAAAGAAAUCAUAAAAUGUUCAUGGAUUCAAAAAAUAUCUUGAAUUUGAAAGACAUGUCCGGACAUUCCCAAAAUGUUCAUAAAUUUGAACAAAAUGUUCACAAAUUAAAAAACAUGUUCAGAAAACUAAAUAAAUGAUUCUCAAUUACGAAAAUAUUGAAAAAUCAAAAAAUGUUCGUUGAUUCAAAAAAUGUUAAUUAAUUUCGAAAAAUAUUUGUCAAACAAAUAGUAUUCAUGAAUGUCAAAAAUUGUUCCCAGAUUUCAAAAACUAUUUCUUGUCAAAAAUUAUUCAGCAAUUCAAAUGUCCAUGAGUUUUAAAACAAUGUUUACAAUUUUAAAAAAUUCUUAGAUAUAAAAAAAUGUUUGUGAAUUCAAAAAAUAUUCAAGAUUAAAUUAAAUUCAUGAAUUUUUAAACAUGUUCAUGAAUUUGAAAAAUAAUCACAACAAAACAAUGUUCAUGCAAUUGGAAAAUGCUCACAAUUUAAAUAAUGUUAAAAAUCAUUAAAAAGUUCAUAAAUUUGAAAAUAAGUUCAAAAAAUGAAAGACUGAAAAAAGAAAAGAAAAACUGACAUCAAAAUAGGAAAAUAUAAAUAAGGUAAAAACGAAAACGAAAAAUAGAAAUGAAAUAAUGAAAAUGAAAAAACAAAAAUAACCCGAAAGGAAAAAACUGGUAUGGAAAGGUUCUAGAACGUUCCCAAAACCGAAAAGGAGGUACUUGGGCCGCCCCAAAAUGUGUACCUAGUGGGAGGGGCGUAUGCGCUAGGAUUAGCCCCCUAAAAAGCUUCACAACUUUUGAGCAGAUCAAUGGUCUAGAUUAAAACAUGUCCUUUACUUUAGAAGGGGUAAUAUAAAAAAUUCACAUUAUAAAAACACUUGCAAUAAAAAAGAUAACGGGCGCUCUAGAAACCCAUGGCGGCUAGUGCGACUUGUUUGGAGCUAUUCGUCUCCUUCCCAACCCUUAUCCACUACCCCGGUCGUCCAUGUAUCUGUCAAAAGUGUUAGAUGAAGGAAAUAUGCCCUAUAGGCAAUAAUAAAGUUAUUAUUUAUUUCCUUAUUUCAUGAUAAAUGUUUAUUAUUCAUGCUAGAUUUGUAUUAACCGGAAACAUAAUACAUGUGUGAAUACAUAGACAAACAUAGUGUCACUAGUAUGCCUCUACUUGACUAGCCCGUUAAUCAAAGAUGGUUAAGUUUCCUAACCAUAGACAUGAGUUGUCAUUUGAUUAACGAGAGCACAUCAUUAGGAGAAUGAUAUGAUUGACUUGACCCAUUCCGUUAGCUUAGCACUUGAUCGUUUAGUAUUCUGCUAUUGCUUUCUUCAUGACUUAUACAUGUUCCUAUGACUAUGAGAUUAUGCAACUCCCGUUUACCGGAGGAACACUUUGUGUGCUAUCAAACGUGACAACGUAACUGGGUGAUUAUAAAGGUGCUCUACAGGUGUCUCCGAAGGUACUUGUUGGGUUGGCGUAUUUCGAGAUUAGGAUUUGUCACUCCGAUUGCCGGAGAGGUAUCUCUGGCCCACUCGGUAAUACACAUCACUUAAGCCUUGCAAGCAUUGCAACUAAUGAGUUAGUUGCGGGAUGAUGUGUUAUGGAACGAGUAAAGAGACUUGCCGGUAACGAAAUUGAACUAGGUAUUGAGAUACGGACGAUCGAAUCUCGGGCAAGUAACAUACCGAUGGCAAAGGGAACAACGUAUGUUGUUAUGCGGUUUGACCGAUAAAGAUCUUCGUAGAAUAUGUAGGAGCCAAUAUGAGCAUCCAUGUUCCGCUAUUGGUUACUGACCGGAGACGUGUCUCGGUCAUGUCUACAUAGUUCUCGAACCCGUAGGGUCCGCACGCUUAAAGUUCGAUGACGGUUAUAUUAUGAGUUUAUGGUUUUUGAUGUACCGAAGGUAAUUCGGAGUCCUGGAUGUGAUCACGGACAAGACGAGGAGUCUCGAAAUGUUUGAUACGUAAAGAUCAAUAUAUUGGACGACUAUAUUUGGAUAUCGGAAUGGUUCCGGGUGAGAUCAGGAUAAUACCGGAGCACCGGGAGGUUAUUGGAACCCUCCCCCCCGGAGGUAUAUGGGCCUUAAUGGGCUUUAGUGGAAAGGAGGGAAAAGGAGCAAGGGAGGGGGCGCCCCCCCCCCCCCCAAGCCCAAUCCGAAUAGGGAAGGGGGCCACCCCCCUUUCCUUCCUCCCUCCUUCCUCUUCCUUCCCUCCCCCUCUCCAAAUAGGAAAAGGAGGAGUCCUACUCCCGAUGGGAGUAGGACUCCCCCCUUGGGCGCGCCUCCUCCCCUUGACCAGCCCUCUCCUCCCCUCCUUUAUAUACGGAGGAGAGGGGCACCCCAUAGACAGAACAAUUGAUCUCUUGGAUCUUUUAGCCGUGUGCGGUGCCCCUCUCCACCAUAGUCCACCUCGAUAAUAUCGUAGCGGUGCUUAGGCGAAGCCCUGCGACGGUAGAACAACAUCGUCACCACGCCCUCGUGCUGAUAGAACUCUCCCUCACAGCUCGGCUGGAUAGGAGUUCGAGGGAUGAAACCGAGUUGAACGUGUGCAGAACUCGGAGGUGCCGUGCGUUCGGUACUUGAUCGGUCGGAUCGUGAAGACAUACGACUACAUCAACCGCGUUGUGCUAAUGCUUCCGCUUUCGGUCUACAAGGGUACGCGGACACACUCUCCCCUCUCGUUGCUAUGCAUCACCAUGAUCUUGCAUGUGCGUAGGAAAUUUUUUGAAAUUACUACGUUACCCAACAGUGGUAUCAGAGCCAGGUUUUAUGCGUUGAUGUUAUAUGCACGAGUAGAAAACAAGUGAGUUGUGGGCGAUACAAGUCAUACUGCUUACCAGCAUGUCAUACUUUGGUUCGGCGGUAUUGUUGGAUGAAGCGGCCCGGACCGACAUUACGCGUACGCUUACGCGAGACUGGUUCUACCGACGUGCUUUGCACACAAGUGGCUGGCGGGUGUCAGUUUCUUCAACUUUAGUUGAACCGAGUGUGGCUACGCCCGGUCCUUGAGAAGGUUAAAACAGCACUAACCUGACGAACUAUCGUUGUGGUUUUGAUGCGUAGGUAAGAACGGUUCUUGCUCAGCCCGUAGCAGCCACGUAAAACUUGCAACAACAAAGUAGAGAACGUCUAACUUGUUUUUGCAGGGCAUGUUGUGAUGUGAUAUGGUCAAGACAUGAUGCUAUAUUUUAUUAUAUGAGAUGAUCAUGUUUUGUAAUCGAGUUAUCGGCAACUGGCAAGAGCCAUAUGGUUAUCGCUUUAUUGUAUGCAAUGCAAUCGCCCUGUAAUUGCUCUACUUUAUCACUAGGCGGUAGCGAUAGUCAUAGAAGCAAUAGUUGGCGAGACGACAAUGAUGCUACGAUGGAGAUCAAGGUGUCGCACUGGUGACGAUGGUGAUCAUGACGGUGCUUCGGAGAUUGAGAUCACAAGCACAAGAUGAUGAUGGCCAUAUCAUAUCACUUAUAUUGAUUGCAUGUGAUGUUUAUCUUUUAUGCAUCUUAUUUUGCUUUGAUUGACGGUAGCAUUAUAAGAUGAUCUCUCACUAAAUUUCAAGAUAAAAGUAUUCUCCCUGAGUAUGCACCGUUGCCAAAGUUCGUCGUGCCCAGACACCAUGUGAUGAUCGGGUAUGAUAAGCUCUAUGUCCAUCUACAACGGGUGCAAGCCAGUUUUGCACACGCAGAAUACUCAGGUUAAACUUGACGAGCCUAGCAUAUGCAGAUAUGGCCUUGGAACACCGAGACCGAAAAGUCGAGCUUGAAUCAUAUAGUACAUAUGAUCAACAUAAUGAUGUUCACCAUUGAAAACUACUCCAUUUCACGUGAUGAUCAGUUAUGGUUUAGUUGAUUUGGAUCACAUGAUCACUUAGAUGAUUAGAGAGAUGUCUAUCUAAGUGGGAGUUCUUAAAGUAAUAUGGUUAAUUGGACUUUAAUUUAUCUUGAACUUAGUCCUGGUAGUAUUAGCAUAUCUAUGUUGUAUAUCAAUAGCUCGCGUUUAGCUCCCCUGUUUUAUUUUUGAUAUGUUCCUAGAGAAAACUAAGUUGAAAGAUGUUAAUAGCAAUGAUGCGGAUUGGAUCCGUGAUCUGAGGAUUAUCCUCACUGUUGCACAGAAAUAUUAUGUCCUUGAUGCACCGCUAGGUCACAGACCUAUUGCAGGAGCAGAUGCUGACGUUAUGAACAUUUUGACAAAAGCUCGGUAUGAUGACUACUUGAUAGUUUAGUGCACCAUGCUUUACGACUUAGAACCGGGACUUCAAAAAUGUUUUGAACGCCACGGAGCAUAUAAGAUAUUCCAAGAAUUGAAAUUGGUAUUUCAUACUCAUGCCAGUGUCGAGAGGUAUGAGACCUCUGACAUUACUUUGCCUACAAGAUGGAGGAGAAUAGCUCAACCAGUAAGCAUGUGCUCAGAUUGUCUGAGUACUACAAUCACUUGAAUCAAGUGGGAGUUAAUCUUCUAGAUAAUAUAGUGAUUGACAGAGUUCUCUAGUCACUAUCACCAAGUUGUUAGAACUUCAUGAUGAACUAUAAUAUGCAAGGGAUAACGGAAACGAUUCCCAAGCUCUUCAUGAUGCUGAAAUCGACGAAGGUAAAAAUCAAGAAAAGCAUCAAGUGUUGAUGGUUAACAAGACCACUAUUUUCAAGAAAAGGGCAAAUGGAAUAAGGGGAAUUUCAAGAAGAACGGCAAGCAAGUUGCUGCUCAAGUGAAGAAGCCCAAAUCUAGACCUAAGCCUGAGACUAAGUGCUUUUACUGCAAAGGGACUAGUCACUGGAAGUGGAACUGCCCCAAGUAUUUGGCAGAUAAGAAGGAUGGCAAAGUGAACAAAGGUAUAUUGGAUAUACAUGUUAUUGAUGUGUACUUUACUAGUGUUUAUAGCAACCCCUCAGUAUUUGAUACUAGUUCAGUUGCUAAGAGUAGUAACUUGAAAUGGUAGUUGGACAAUGAACAGAGACUAGUUAAGGGUGGAGCAACGAUGUGUGUUGGAAGUAGUUCCAAGAAUGAUAUGAUCGUCAUCGCACACUCCCUAUACUUUCAGGAUUAGUGUUGAACCUAAAUAAGUGUUAUUUGGUGUUUUCGUUGAGCAUGAAUAUGAUUUGAUCAUGUUUAUUGCAAUACGGUUAUUCAUUUAAGUUAGAGAAUAAUUGUUAUUCUGUUUACAUGAAUAAAACCUUCUAUGGUUAUACACCCAAUGAAAAUGGUUUGUUGAAUCUUGAUUGUAGUGAUACACAUAUUCAUAAUAUUGAAGCCAAAAGAUGCAAAGUUAAUAAUGAUAGUGCAACUUAUUUGUGGCACUGUCGUUUAGGUCAUAUUGGUGUAAAGCGCAUGAAGAAAAUCCAUGCUGAUGGGCUUUUGGAAUCACUUGAAUAUAAAUCAGUUGAUGCUUGCGAACCAUGCCUCAAGGGUAAAGAGGACUAAGACUCCGUUCUCCAGAACAAUGGAGCGAGGAACUGACUUAUUGGAUAUAAUACAUACUGAUGUAUGAGGUCCGAUGAGUGUUGAGGCUCGCGGCGGGUAUCGUUAUUUUCUGACCUUCACAGAUAAUUUGAGCAGAUAUGGGUAUAUCUACUUGAAGAAACAUAAGUCCGAAACAUUUGAAAAGUUUAAAGAAUUUCAGAGUGAAGUGGAAAAUCAUCGUAACAAGAAAAUAAAGUUUCUACGAUCUGAUCGUAGAGGCAAAUAUUUGAGUUACGAGUUUGGUCUUCAAUUAAAACAAUAUGGAAUAGUUUCACAAACUCAUGCCACCUGGAACACCAUAGCGUAAUGGUGUGUCCGAAAGUCAUAACUGUGCUUUAUUUGAUAUAGUGCAAUCUAUGAUGUCUCAUACCGAUUUACCACUAUCAUUUUGGGGUUAUGCAUUAGAGAUAGCUGCAUUCACAUUAAAAAGGGCACCAUCUAAAUCUGUUGAGAUAACACCGUAUGAACUGUGGUUUAGCAAGAAACCUAAGGUGUCGUUUCUUAAAGUUUGGGGUUGCGAUGCUUAUGUGAAAAAGGUUUAUCUUGAUAAGCUCAAACCCAAAUCGAAGAAGUGCGUCUUCAUAGGAUACCCAAAAGUAACUGUUGGGUACACCUUCUAUCACAGAUCCGAAGGCAAGAUAUUUGCUGCUGAGAAUAGAUCCUUUCUAGAGAAGGAGUUUCUCUCGAAAGAAGUGAGUGGGAGGAAAGUAGAACUUGAUGAGGUAACUGUACCUGCUCCCUUAUUGGAAAGUAGUUCAUCACAGAAAUCUGUUUCUGUGACUCCUACACCAAUUAGUGAGGAAACUAAUGAUGAUGAUCAUGUAACUUCAGAUCAAGUUAUUACCAAACCUCUUAGGUCAACCAGAGUGAGAUCCGCACCAGAGUGGUACGGUAAUCCUGUUCUGGAGGUCACGUUAAUUGACCAUGACGAACCUACGAACUAUGAGGAAGCGAUGAUGAGCCCAGAUUCCGCGAAAUGGCUUGAGGCAUGAAAUCUAAUAUGGGAUCCAUGUAUGAGAACAAAGUGUGGACUUUGGUUAACUUGCCCGAUGAUCGGCAAGCCAUAGAAAAUAAAUGGAUCUUCAAGAGGAAGACGGACAGUGAUAGUAGUGUUGCUAUCUACAAAGCUCGAAUUGUCGCAAAAUGUUUUCGACAAGUUCAAGGUGUUGACUACGAUGAGAUUUUCUCACUCGUAUCGAUGCUUAAGUCCGUCCGAAUCAUGUUAGCAAUUGCCGCAUUUUAUGAUUAUGAAAUUUGGCAAAUGGAUGUAAAGACUGCAUUCCUGAAUGGAUUUCUGGAAGAAGAGUUGUAUAUGAUGCAACCUGAAGGUUUUGUCGAUCCUAAAGGUGCUAACAAAGUGAGCAACCUCCAGCGAUCCAUCAAUGGACUGGUGCAAGCUUCUCGAAGUUGGAAUAAACGUUUUGAUAGUGUGAUCAAAGCAUAUGGUUUUAUACAGACUUGCGGUGAAGCCUGUAUUUACAAGAAAGUGAGUGGGAGCACUACAACAUUUCUAAUAAGAAGUGUGAAUGACAUAUUGUUGAUCGGAAAUAAUGUAGAAUUUUCUGGAAAGCAUAAAGAAGUAUUUGAAAUGAGUUUCUCAAAUAAAGACCUCGAUGAAGCUACUUACAUAUUGAGCAUCAAGAUCUAUAGAGAUAGAUCAAGACGCUUGAUAAGUUUUUUCAAUGAGUGCAUACCUUGACAAGAUUUUGAAGUAGUUCAAAAUGGAACAGUCAAAGAAAGAGAUCUUACCUGUGUUACAAGGUGUGAAAUUGAGUAAGACUCAAAGCCCGACCACGGCAGAAGAUAGAAAGAGAAUGAAAGUCAUUCCCUAUGCCUCAACCAUAGUUUCUAUAAAGUAUGCCAUGCUGUGUACCAGAUCUAUUGUAUACCCUACACUGAGUUUAGCAAUGGAAUACAAUAGUGAUCUAGGAGUAGAUCACUGGAUAGCGGUCAAAAUUAUCCUUAGUGGAAUAAGGAAAUAUUUCUCGACUAUGGAGGUGAUAAAAGAGUUCGUCGUAAAGAGUUACGUCGAUGCAAGCUUUUUACAUCGAUCUAGAUGACUCUAAGUCUCGAUCUGGAUACAUAUUAAAAGUGGGAGCAAUUAGCUAGAGUAGCUCCAUGCAAAGCAUUGUUGACACAGAAAUUUUCAAAAUACAUAUGGAUCUGAAUGUGGCAGACCCGUAGACUAAACUUCUCUCACAAGUAAAACAUGAUCACACCUUAGUACUCUUUGGGUGUUAAUCGCAUAGCGAUGUGAACUAGAUUAUUGACUCUAGUAAACCCUUUGGGUGUUGAUCACAUGACGAUGUGAACUAUGGGUGUUAAUCACAUGGUGAUGUGAACUAUUGGUGUUAAAUCACAUGGCGAUGUGAACUAGAUUAUUGACUCUAGUGCAAGUGGGAGACUGAAGGAAAUAUGCCCUAGAGCCAAUAAUAAAGUUAUUAUUUAUUUCCUUAUUUCAUGAUAAAUGUUUAUUAUUCAUGCUAGAUUUGUAUUAACCGGAAACAUAAUACAUGUGUGAAUACAUAGACAAACAUAGUGUCACUAGUAUGCCUCUACUUGACUAGCUCGCUAAUCAAAGAUGGUUAAGUUUCCUAACCAUAGACAUGAGUUGUCAUUUGAUUAACGGGAUCACAUCAUUAGGAGAAUGAUAUGAUUGACUUGACCCAUUCCGUUAGCUUAGCACUUGAUCGUUUAGUAUUCUGCUAUUGCUUUCUUCAUGACUUAUACAUGUUCCUAUGACUAUGAGAUUAUGCAACUCCCGUUUACCAGAGGAACACUUUGUGUGCUACCAAACGUCACAACGUAACAGGGUGAUUAUAAAGGUGCUCUACAGGUGUCUCCGAAGUUACUUGUUGGGUUGGCGUAUUUCGAGAUUAGGAUUUGUCACUCCGAUUGUCGGAGAGGUAUCUCUGGCCCCUCGGUAAUACACAUCACUUAAGCCUUGCAAGCAUUGCAACUAAUGAGUUAGUUGCGGGAUAAUGUGUUAUGGAACGAGUAAAGAGACUUGCCAGUAACGAGAUUGAACUAGGUAUUGAGAUACCGACGAUCGAAUCUCGGGCAAGUAACAUACCGAUGGCAAAGGGAACAACGUAUGUUGUUAUGCGGUUUGACCGAUAAAGAUCUUCGUAGAAUAUGUAGGAGCUAAUAUGAGCAUCCAUGUUCCGCUAUUGGUUAUUGAACGGAGACGUGUCUCAGUCAUGUCUACAUAGUUCUCGAACCCGUAGGGUCCGCACGCUUAAAGUUCGAUGACGGCUAUAUUUUGAGUUUAUGGUUUUUGAUGAACCGAAGGUAAUUCAGAGUCCUGGAUGUGAUCACGGACAAGACGAGGAGUCUCGAAAUGUUCGAGACGUAAAGAUCGAUAUAUUGGACGACUAUAUUUGGAUACCAGAAUGGUUCCGGGUGAGAUCGGGAUAAUACCGGAGCACCGGGAGGUUAUCGGACCCCCCCGGAGGUAUAUGGGCCUUAAUGGGCUUUAGUGGAAAGGAGGUAAAAGGAGAAAGGGAGGGGGCGCCCCCCCCCCCCCAAGCCCAACCCGAACUGGGAAGCCCCCCCCCUUUCCUUCCUCCCUCCUUCCUCUUCCUUCCCUCUCCCUCUCCAAAUAGGAAAAGGAGGAGUCCUACUCCCGGUGGGAGUAGGACUCCCCCCUUGGGCGCACCUCCUCCCCUUGGCCGGCCCUCUCCUCCCCUCCUUUAUAUACGGAGGAGAGGGGCACCCCAUAGACACAACAAUUUAUCUCUUGGAUCUUUUUGCUGUGUGCGGUGCCCCUCUCCACCAUAGUCCACCUCGAUAAUAUUGUAGCGGUACUUAGGCGAAGCCCUGUGACGGUAGAACAUCAACAUCGUCACCACGCCGUUGUGCUGAAGGAACUCUCCCUCAAAGCUCGGCUGGAUCGGAGUUUGAGGGACGUCAUCGAGUUGAACGUGUGCAGAACUCAGAGGUGCCGUGCGUUCGGUACUUGAUCGGUCGGAUCGUGAAGACAUACGACUACAUCAACCGCAUUGUGCUAAUGCUUUCGCUUGCGGUCUACAAGGGUACACGGACACACUCUCCCCUCUCGUUGUUAUGCAUCACCAUGAUCUUGCGUGUGCGUAGGAUUUCUUUUUAAAUUACUAUGUUACCCAACAUUAGACUCCUCCACUUUAUCUUACUCCUCACAUUCCCAUCAUCCGACAUAGUAUGACGACAUCUCAGCCCCUUGUAUUCACAUCACACGGUGUUCAAAUCGCACGAGCCACGAGGCCUUGUUUUUUAAACAGAAGUGGUGUACCCAAGCACCCCUAAUGAAAUUGGCGUUCCCUUGAUCCAAAGAAAAAAAGAGUAAAAAGAAACCAAACACUCCCCCCCCCACAUACACCUCCAGCGUUCCUAUGCACCGAAUUGUACACAACCAAUAGUUUCUACAUUGCUACACAUGAAUGAUGCUUACAGUUGAAAUAAAAGGCAACUCAUUGUCGCUUACAACUAAAUAGCAAAAGGAUACUAGGAGUAGAGUUUGACAUAGGCUAGAGUAAGUGCAUUAUAUAUCCUUAUUUCUGUUUCGCAAUUUUUUUUCCUUAUUUCUAGUGUGUGAUUGCCACCCAAGAUUGCAAUAGAACACCAGGUCAACUGACAAUCCAAUCCCUGGUGUUCUAUUAUAUGUCGAGUUAAAUACUAAAAAGUGCUACUAGGAGUAGAGUAUGAGAUGAACGAGAGUAAGUGCAUUAUGUAUAUCCUCAAUUAUAGUGUGCGGUCACCACCCAAGAUUGCAACAGAACACCAAUUUGGCUGACGAAACCAAUCUAGUCCAAUCGCUUAUUGAACUAAAAGUCGGUAUAUGUACUUAGGAGUUGCCUAACUAAAGCAUGCGGUUCAACUUGAUAGAUCUAGUAAGAUUCAACUCGAUAAUCGUUUAAUUCCUAAUGGUUUCUAUAAAAAAUAGUUACAAUAACUAACUCAAACGAAAUAUAAGCGAACAAUCAAACAUCGACCGGCUCACAUGGCUUCCAAAUAAAACUAAUUAACAGAUCGAGUAAUACAUUGUUUAUUCCUUGCUCUUAAUAUGAGGUUAUACAUAACAUAUUUUGGUCCAUCCUGAAGUAAGUAUUACGUAACAAGUACUAGCUAGUAUUUCAGUCUCUACUAGCAAAUGUUGCAAUAGCAAACAGCCUUGAUGGCGUUCUUCUUAUCACAGUGGUAGUCCUUGAGGCUGCCCUUCCUAUCACGUGCAAACACGUCACACGUGGCCUUGCAUAGAGGCUUGGUGCAGAAAAACUCCCCGCCGUCGUCAACGACCGCGAAAUUGUGCUGCACAACACCAAGAAAACACAAACCAUUAUAUUAGAAUAUUAGCGACAAACCCCCAUUAGAUUAGAUUAUACGUAUUUGACAAACACAAUUAAACACACCUGCAGAAAUAGGAGUACCCACAAGUGUUAGCACCACGAGGAAGCAAACAAUAGCAGCCCGUGUGUCCAUCCCAAGAGUUCUCUCCUUUUUUGAACUAGAAGGAAAAAUAUGUGUUCUCUUCGUCUAUUUUAAUUUGGCUAUGGGACUAAUGUUUAUGUCUUGAAGUGCUUGGAGUGUUGUCUUAUAUAGACUUAUUGAAAGGGACAAAAAUAAAAGCAUUUAAAUGAUUGUUAAACUUAGCAAAAGAGAUAGAGGUGAGUCACACCCCAAAAAUGGAAGCACUUAAUGCUGGGUGAGAAAUUAAAUGACGAAGGCAAAGAAUAUAUGAGUGAUGUUUAUCCAAUAAUCAAGGCUUUAAUUUUCGACUACAAAAUAAGCAUGACCAUUCAAAAAAUGGAGUCAUCUUUUUGUCGCUGGUGACAUUGAUCAAACAUGGUUUUUUAUAAAAAAAAAUGUAUAGCCACUUUAAUUGCAAACACCAUUGUGCAUUGAAAUUCAGUUGACUUCAACAAAACAAUCAAUAUGAAUUGCAUGCUUGAUAUGUAACCAACUAAAACUAAAAUUGUAUGUUGUCUCGAGUUGACUAAAUCACCAUUUUUGGCUAGACAAUGUUUAAAACUGUGUCAACUGUGUCAAUUUGCACGGCGCCUGGGACAAUGCAAUGUCAAAUCUUGCACUAUUUUAAACCACCACAAGAUAAGCAAGCUGAGUUGGCCCGGGCCUCUUGCCAGACGCUGGCAUCCACCUCGAAAUCUAUAUCAAUAUAUUUUUUGUAUCACAUGAAUCAUAUAGUAUUGGUCUAAAAUAUAUUUUCUCUUGUUGCAAAAUAUGAAAGAAAAAUCGGCACAACAAUAUUAUAUAGACCCAUCGCAACAAUAGCAUGCUUCACAGUCGGUGGGUCCCAUGUAAAGACAUUUGGAAAUACCUCAAAAAUGCAUAUGUGUACUAUUUAUUAUUGUCCAAGAAUUUCACAUGCUCACUCACAACAAACUGUUGAAGAAUUCCGUGCAACUUAGAAACUAACGUAUGCAACAACGCGAGCACAACAUUUGUGUUAGGACUAACAAAAUUACAUUACAUUGUAGCAUGUCACACAUGUGUAUGUAGUAUGACGCAAAUGAGUUCACAGCAUACCAAAACAACGAAUGGUAACUACAAAAAAUUCCCAUAAAUCUAACAUUUUACAACCAAAAAAUUUGGUGGGCACUGACCUCACCUCAUCAAACUUGCUCUAAUAUUCUAGUUAGUGUAGAGUUUUGGAUUAAGCUAAAGUUGCUCUAGUAUUAUGCCACAACAAAAAGGAAAGAAAUGGGGGAAAACAAAGAAGAGCGGAGCAGGGUGGCUUACUCGGAUCUAAGUCGGCCAAUAUCAAUCGCAUUGCCCUCCUAAAUCCUGAUUACUCAAGCCAGCCCAAAAUUGAGGGGCUACUAAAAUAGAAGUUGAGCCUAUGGUGCAAGAACAGAAAAGCCAUUGGAUUGGAUAUGGAUAGCACAUGAUCUGGUGGAGCGAUCUCAGGCCACUUUUUGUAUAUUUUAUGAAAAAACCCUAUUAACAGUUAGGUACAAAACAAAACAUUCGCAGUGACCACCUUAAGUAUCUCAUCUCCCAAUCCAAUAGUGGAGUUAACGACCAUUUACAGAUUUCAGGUUUUUUCCAGCGACCAUUUAUAGAAUUUGCACAACCUCAUAUCCUAUCAGUUUUAUAAAAUAUAUUUUCACAUACCGAGCACAAAUAUAUGGUUGUAAGAAUGAAGAACUCAUACUCAUGCUUGUUUUAAUUCUAGUAUUUACACCCCUAAGGUUGUUAAGGUCCGGUUACAAAAACUCGAAUUUAAUUCUCUUAUAAGAACUUGUUAGAGUCCUGUCAUAGUGCACAUCCUCUCGUGGAUUCGAUAACUCAAGGUUGCUCCUUCGGGAAAAGGGAGGGAAACCUUUGUUGUCCAAACCGGAUCUCAAAGAGCACCACCCAUCUCUCACCCUACUCGAUGAUACAACAUCGACGACCAGGUACGUGUGUAACCAACCGUCUGCUCCCUCGCUCUGUCACUGUGGUGCUAUUCAUUACAUCAAGUCGGGACCCAUUUCCUUCCUUUUGAGGUUAACAAUUAAGGUUUCUAGUCUAUAUGAGGGCCUUCGGAUUCAACUUAUAAGAAUGUUAGUUCAAAUUUAAUGAUGAUUAUUUCAAGUGGAUGGUUAUGUGAACUAGGUUGGUAGAGUGGUGGCCGACCACUGUUGCGGCGGACUUCAGGGAUGUUUGAUCUAUCCACCUGGCUUGAUCAAGCAGCGUCGACAUUUGUGCAUCAUUAUUUUGUUGAAUAUGUUCGUUCGAUUUGCUUGUUGCAGGGGUGAUAGCCUCUGGUCCGACGUUUGGUUACACGAGACAAUAAGCUCCCCUUGCAAAAGUGUAUGAUGUGGGAAUUACGUGUUGUACUCCUCAGGUGCAAACGCACGUAUAUAUGAUGUACAGGAGUAGGCCACGACCUCAAUUAUACAAGGCAACUAGGAGGUGGGCCCAAUACACAAAUAUGCACAACAAAGACUGGACCGGAACUCCUCAAAAUGAUGCCGUAGGCAAGUCCUUGGUCAUGGUAUAUGCAAAUUGUUGGGAAGUAGGGACGUGUAAAACACGAAUAUGGCCAAGGGCCACCUAUUCCCGAACAAAAUGAAUAUCCAACUCAAUAUGCUUGGUCCGUCGAUGAUGCACCGGGUUAGCGGAGAGGUAGACUGCCGAGACGUUGUCGCAAUAGACCACCGUGGCACGGUCAACAGGGAAAGAGAGCUCCUGAAGCAGCUGGCGAAGCCACGAACACUCGGCGACGGUGUUGGCCACCGCAGGAUACUCAGCCUCAGCGUUGGAACGAGAGACCGUAGGCUGCCGCGUGGAUGACCACGAGAUAAGUGAGGGUCCAAGGUAGACACAAUAGCCCGAGGUGGAGCGACGAGUUUUAGGGCAGCCCGCCCAGUCUGCAUUGAAGUAGGCGGCGAGGGCAGUGUCGGCGGAGGCAUGAAGCGUGACACCAAGAUCCAUAGUGCCACAGACAUAGCGGAGAAUCCGUUUGACAACGGCCCAGUGCAUCUCGAGGAGCAUGCAUAUGAAGACACACCUGCUGCACGACAUACUGGAUCUCUGGUUGAGUUAAAGUGAGGUACUGAAGAGCACCAACAAUAGACCGAUAAAAAGCAGCAUCCGAAGCAGGAGAACCAUCCGUGGCAGAAAGCUUGGCCUUUGUAUAAACAGGCGUAGCAGCGGGCUUGUAGUUAAGCAUGUUGGCCCGCUCCAGGAGCUCAUGAGCAUACUUCCGCUGAUGAAAGAAGAAGCCAUCCGGACGGCACACCACCUCGACACCGAGGAAGUUGUGCAAAGGACCCAAGUCCUUGAUGGCAAACUCAGCGCGAAGACGAGCCAUGAGCUGACCGAGGAGACCAACCAUACAUGCCGUCAGGAUGACGUCGUCGACAUAGAGCAGAAAGUAGGCCGUGUUAGAGCCCUGAUGAUAGACGAAGAGCGAGGCGUCCGAGCGGGUGGAGCGGAACCCAAGCUGGUGGAGAAACGCUGCGAUGCGCUGGUACCAAGCACGCAGAGCCUUCUUAAGUUCAUACAAGGACCGCGAAAGCAGGCACACGUGGUCGGGAAGCGCCGGGUCAACAAACCCGGUGUGCUGCUGGCAGAAGACCUGCUACUCCAGGUGACCAUGGAGCAAGGCGUUGGAGACGUCCAUCUGGUGCACCGGCCAAGCACGGGAGACUGCAAGGUGGAGAACCGUGUGUAUCGUGUCGGGCUUGACGACCAGAGCGAAGGUGUCGAUGAAGUCGAUGCCAGCACGCUGUCGGAAGCCACGAACGACCCAACGCGGUUUGUAGCGAUCAAAGGUACCAUCGGGACGGAGGUUGUGUUUGAAGACCCACUUCCCGGUAAUCACGUUGGCGUGCUGAGGACAGGAAACAAACAUAGAAGAUUUGACUUUAGAAAAAAAAUAGUACAACUUAUCUAUACCUAAUAUUAAAGGACGGAGAUUUUUAUAGUUCUCCAUACAUCUAACUUUAUUAAUAGUCUUCAUCGGCCCACCGGAGCAAGACAAUAAGUAGGCCUGGAAACACUCGAUUCAAUGGGCCUGAAAAAUAAACGGGCAUGCAUCCUCUCUCGCUCAUCUCUCUCCUCUCGAACCCCUCAUAAAAAAUUUCUCUCCUCUCGAUCCCUUCGCUCUCUACUACGAGCGCUCCUGGGGCAGACAUGUUCUCCCUUCUCUCUACCGCUGCGGAUGGCCCAACUUGACUCCGAGACGAACUCUGCUCGAGCACGCACCCAUAGGGUGUCCCGACAGGUUCUUUGCGGUUCCGCAGGCUGGUCUAGGAACAUAUAGAAACAAAUUGACGCCAUCAAACGAAGCCCCAGCUCAAUUGCCUGGUUGCGGAGUGCGGCGGCAUGUCGAGCCGAACGCCGGCAAGAUCAUACAGGAUGAGGCAGUAGAUGCCAACGAUAGUGUGCGUCACCCAACUCGACGCAGGCGAGGAAGAUGAGCAGGACGGCGUUGGAGCUCAGCAGGGCGCCGACGAGAACGUACGGGAAGAGGCGGUAGACGCCGAUGGCGGUGUAGGUAACCCACCCAGCUCGACGAAGGUGAGGAAGAUGAGUAGGACGGGGGGUAGCCGGGGAUUUGAAGAGGACUCGGAAGGGCUACACGAGCAUGACCAGGUCGUCACUGAAUCGGAUCCGUCACCUCAUGCGGCUGAGCUGUUAGAGGACGAUGCAGAGGCUCUGGUCAAAGGCGACCAUGAUGGAUGUGUCACCGCCGGCCACGCGAUAGAGGAAGAAGGUGAGGCUCAAGAGCCGGCCAGCCGAGUGGACGUGCCGGUGCAGUUGUGACCGCUCGGGAGGUUGAAGGCAAGCGAGGGAGCUCAUGCGGCGACGUCGGCAAGGCUCGGUGGCGAGAUAGCGCAGAAGAGCGGUGCAGCGGAGCGACAACCACGAUGCUAGGGCGUUGCGGAGAGAAAGGAUGAAGAGAGAUAGGGCAAGGGAGUCCUACUGCUGGUGGAGGCACGCAGGAGGAGCUCGAGCAUCAGUUGGCGGGCGAAGCAAGGAGUCGCAGGGCUUUCCAGCGACUAUGAUGGUGCGGGUUGAUCUGGGGAGGCUGGGAGAGCUGCCUCCUAGGGGCGCUGGUUCGGGUUGACGUGUGCGUCAUGUGCACUGCUACAAAAUUGCUGGAUAUGUGUAUCUAUAUGUGUGCGGCUGCGAUUUGAAAGUCGUAGCAAUGCACAGGCUUAUAAUUAAAUAAUUAUAUAUCUUUACUUGUUCAGUAGCAACACAUGCUAGCAAGCAGCAGAGACAGUAUACUAUGUUGGCGAUCAUUUGGCGAGCGAGCAGUUGAAUUGCUGCUGGCAUGCAUUGUGCAGGGGCAUGUUCGCUUGGGUCUUGGGACGAAAUCGACUGAGUCAAUAAAUAAUUUUUUAAAAGGAUAUUAGACCCUCGGCCUCUGCAUCAUUCAUUAUGAUGCACACAAAUAUUUUUAGCAAAGUUAGCCAUGGGUCGAACCAUUAGAUAUCAAAUAGACAUCUACAACUAAGUCGACUUCUGCUGCAACAUCUCUUCAAGAAGGGAUAAACUUUCUCGCCAUCGACCGAAACAAUCCGUAAGAAGAAGAAAAUGAUCACACAUGUGAAACAUAAUUGUCAAUACAAAUACAUGACACAUGGUGGUACGAACACACAUCACGAUGGAAGAAUACCAGCAACUUAAAAGCAAGCCUACAUCAAAUCUAUAUUUCAUUAGUAUUUAGUCCAUAUUUUUAUUUCUAUCAACCUAAACUCCAAUUACGUUAAAAUUUAGGUUUGAACUGCAGAUAUGAGAUUUCGAAUUUAAAGAUUGAACGUAUAUUUAAAGUUCUCAUAGUAUGUGUCUAUUUUUUGGGGUGUCUUUUUACUCGAUAGGAAUCCAAUUCAAUGCUCAAAAUCAAAUAACAAGAUUAUUGCUACAUAUUUUGAUAAAGCUAAAUUUUACUUGAAUUUUGGAUGUAGUUUAGACAAAUAAUUCUCACUAAAUCUUACUAUGGGCCAAUUUUUCUCUACCGUUGCAACACACCGGAUCGAGAGUUUCCAAGAAAACAUUGUCAGUCAGAUGCAUUUACUCCAGAUCAUAACUCAUGUCCUAAGCUUCACGUCGUGAUCCUCAAAUCAUGCAUCUUUUUAUUUUCUCAUCAUCAACCGUUGUGACAUGACACAGUUCCUCGACCUGGCCAACCAUGGUUCAUAGGAACUGGUAUAUUUCUCCCGCUGCAACGCACGGGCAUUCGUGCUAGUAUUUUGAAACGGGAGUUAGUAGGUACACCAAUAAUUCGAUAUACCCACAAAAUGCUGGCUCUAGUUCCUUUCAUGGCUCCUUUGAUGUAAGAAAGAUGCUAGUAGUGACUAGAGACAAAGGGAAUCAAAUUAUGGGAGGAGGCGGCCCUAUCUAUAUUCCUCUUCUCCAAGCGGUAGCUCCCGUCCAUCCUUUGCCAAAAGUGGAGCAUCUCUCAUUUCCUUCUUCAUCUUCUCCUCCUCCUCCUUUCUUGAUGCUCACUCGCCUAUAAAUAGCUCUCGCUGCCUGCCAUUGUUACUCAAGCUAGCAAGCAAGAAGCACAAAAGAAGCCAACACCAAUCAAGGCCUCCAUCCAAUCCCAAGCAACCUCGAAGAUGUCUUGCUGCGGAGGAAGCUGCGGCAGCGCCUGCAAGUGCGGCAACGGCUGCGGCGGCUGCAACAUGUACCCCGAGGUCGAGGCCGCCGGCGCCACCCUCCUCGUCGCCGCCACCGCCACCCACAAGGCGUACGUCCCUUCUCUUUCCUCAUACAUCAUGCGCCUCGCUGUAAUAUGACUAUAUAUGUUGAUCUUGCUAUGGGACUAAGGAUGGAUGGAUGGGUGCAGGAGCUCCGGCGGGAUGGAGAUGGCGGCGGAGAAUGGCGGCUGCGGCUGCACCCAGUGCAAGUGCGGCACCAGCUGCGGCUGCUCCUGCUGCAGCUGCUAGAUCAUUGAUCAUCGAUCAUGCAUGCACCGCGCGCAUGCAUCAUAUCUAUGAUCGAUCCAUCCAUCCAUCUAGUACCAUGUAACGCUACCUGAUCGAGGGUCUUUGUAUGUAUGUAAGCACCUGCCAGCAUGAGCAGAGCAGGUGCACUCCCAUGCAUGUAAACCGACCCCUAAAUAAAAUCUCCCGUGGUUUAACCUAUACAUGUGUUUGUGUUAUAGACCAGCUUCUGGCCCAUGUUUACUAUCAACUUGCGAGGUGCCUGGGUUGCUAAUAGACCAGCUGAAUGCUCUCUUAAAGCAACGUAUGCACCGCUUGGAAUCGGUGUAUCUUUCUUUAUACACAUGUAUUUAUUUUACAGGUGUAUAUCAUCGGCCACACCUGGGAAAAACGAUGGAUGGAGAAGGGUAAAUUUACAGGGGUAUUGCUCUGUGAAACGAGGGUCGAAUCAGGGUCGUAAGGGUGUUUGAUACGUGUGAAUAUUACUGGCCGAAGUUGAGUAUGAGAUACAUACAAUACAAACUUGACACUUUUGAAAGUCGUGCUAUCAAUCAUGAGACACAUAGUUUAGCCAAAUUCUCGCUUAAUCUUUGUCAAAGGGUGUCACGUACUCACGUCUGGUUUGGCCAACCCCAUGAUCCGAUAUGUAUCCCACUCUUUGUGGUUUUCGAUGAAUAAAAUUUGGUUAAACCCUAAAAAAAACUUAUUUUGCGCGCCUUAGUUUUUUUUUCAAGAAUUUUUUUUAAUCUAUUCAUCAAUCAUGGCCGUACAAAAAUUAUAACCAGGUCCAUGAACCACCUAUCGACGACUACACUCACUGGAGCGAGCCGAACGUGCGUCACCGUUAUCGCCCCUCCCUUACCGGAGUCAGGCAAACCUUAUUGUAGUAGACAGUCGGUAAGUCAUCGUGCUAAGACUCUAAAAGACCAUCGCACUAGUGUAGCAACCAUCGCCGAUGAAAAGAGUUGUAGAUUGGAAAGAUCAAACCUAUAACCACACAAACGAAGACAAACAAAAAUGGAUCCAAUAGAUCCACCAAAGUCCAGCACGACAGAAUCAUGUGAGAUCCGGCAGGGACGCACCUCCACAUGUCCUCCUCCAAUGUUAUUCGCACCACCGGGACGAGGAUCGGAUGUGGGAGACAUUAUUCCUACCCAGGGACAUCGCUACCGUCACACAGCCCCAACCAAGACGUUAAACCUAACAAAAACGAGAACGGGUCCCUCCCACUGCCGGGGGGCCAAGAUCCUCCGCAUUCCGGGGAAUCGGCGCCGGCGGCAGCGGGAUGAGAAAGGAAACUUUUCUUGAGAAGGAGGAAAGACAGACACGUGCUGUUGUGUCUAAAUUACCGUGUCUUAGUUUGAUGUACUAUUUGCACCAGCUACUUCAUAACUAGAUUGCCAUGGUUGACGAUGGGUGUGUUCCCCUCUACUAAUAGUGCAGCAGUGCCCUAGCGGCGACAACUAUAUCAUGAACAAUUAAAACUUGAUGAAAUUGGUGGCCUGGUGACUUAUGCCGUGGUGCCUAUAUCGCACGCUCUUUUGUGAUGUCAAAGAAACAAAUUAUCAUUUUCGGAGGUUAAAUGGAAACGGAGGGAGUGAACCUCAUGUAUGUUGUACCAGUAAAACAAUAUUUAAAAGGAUUCGCUGAUGAUUUCCUUGAUAUAAAAUUUGAGGUGUGCUCUACAACACCCCACCCUACCCCCGGAGCUCCUAUUUGGCACGCUAAGCGCUAGCGGUCAAGCCAGUGCGCAUCCCCUUCCCUUGCACACCCAUUUGAGUCGGCCCAUGCGCGGGGCGGGACACGCCUUUUUUAUUUAUUUAUUUUUAUUUUUCGUUUAUUUCUUUUUUAAAUAAUUCAGGAUUUCAAAAAAUUUCAAAUUUCAAAAAACGUCAAUUUUGAAAGAAAUAAACAAAGAAAUCAUAAAAUGUUCAUGUAUUCAAAAAAGAUCUUGAUUUCCAAAGACAUGUUCGCAUAUUCCAAAAAUGUUCAAGAAUUUGAACAAAAUGUUCACAAAUUAAAACAACUGUUCAAAAAACUAAAUAAAUGAUUCUCAAUUACGAAAAUAUUCAUAAAUCAAAAAAUGUUUGUUGAUUCAAAAAAUGUUAAUUAAUUUCGAAAAAUAUUUGUCAAACAAAUAGUAUUCAUGAGUGUCAAAAAUUGUUCCCAGAUUUCAAAAAAUAUUUAUAUUCAAAAAUUAUUCAGCGAUUCAAAUGUCCAUGAGUUUCAAAAGAGUGUUUACAAUUUUAAAAAAUUGUUCUCAGAUAUAAAAAAAUAUUUGUGAAUUCAAAAAAUAUUCAAGAUUAAAUUAAAUUCAUGAACUUUUAAACAUGUUCGUGAAUUUGAAAGAUAAUCACAAUAAAACAAGGUUCAUGAAAUUGGAAAAUGCUCAGAAUUUCAAAUAAUGUUAAAAAAUCCUUAAAAAGUUCAUAAAUUUGAAAAGAAGUUCAAAAAAAGAAAGAGUGAAAAAAGAAAAUAAAAAAUGACAUGAAAAUAGGAAAAAUAUAAAUAAGGUAAAAACAAAAAAGAAAAAUAGAAAUGAAAUAAUCAAAAUGAAGAAACAAAAAUAACCCGAAAGGAAAAAAACUGGUCUGGAAAGGUUCUAGAACGUUCCCAAAACCGAAAAUGAGGUACUUGGGCCGGCCCAAAAUGUGUGCCUAGUGGGAGGGGGUAUGUGAUGAAGCUAUGUACCUAGGGUAGGGUCAUGCACCUGUCCUAACUGCCCCACCCAAGGACAUCUCUAGAAGAAGUCACCUUUCAAUCGACUUGGAGGUGUUCCACUCGACAGACUCGAAGACACUCGACCAAGAAGCAAUCACUCGACCAAGAUCCAACCACUCGACGGCCAGGAGACCUAAAGUCACUCCGCACGCUAACGGUCGGUCAUUAAGUAGCUUUUAUGGUCAUCAUAGCACUUUAUUAGGGGCGUUACCAGUAACGCCCGACCUUAAUGUAUUUGAAACCCUGCAUAACUAAGGGCCAGAGGGGUCUGGCGAACUCUAUAUAAGCCACCCCCUCCUCAGUGUAAAGGGUUCGCACCCCUGUAAUUCAUACACACAUAAUCCAGUCGACCGCCUCCGGGCUCCGAGACGUAUGGCUAUUACUUCCUCCGAGAAGGGCCUGAACUCGUAAACCUCGUGUGCUUACAACUACUCCAUAGCUAAGAUCUUGCCUCUCCAUACCUACCCCCCCUACAUUACUGUCAGACUUAGAACCACGACAGUUGGCGCCCACCUUGGGGAAGGUGUCUUGGCGAUUUGUUGGAGGAGUUGCGAUCUUUUCCGAUCCAAAUCAUCAUGGUUUCUGGCGGAGUUUUGGUGGAGGGCCGCGAGAUCCGUCUCGGCGCGCUCACGUUCAUCGCCGACGACUCCGCUUGGCUUCAGGAGGCUCCGCUCAACGUCGACGCACUCCUUGUCCGUGGGGAAACACACUUUCGCGGGUGCGUUCGCGGCGUUCUCUUGCGUCAACCGUCGACCCGUUAUCGGUCGGCCCCUGUGUUGUCCUCCCUCCCUGUUUCCCGCCGGCGCAAGCGCUCCGGUCGGUCGAGACUUCGGCGGUGGGUGAGACACGUGGUGGCACGCCAGUCGGCCACCCCUCAAGUCACGGCGAUCGAGCCCGACGAAUCCCUCUACGGCCUGCUCGACCUAUCGACUGGCUCUGCAGAGACCGCAUCCGAGUGCGACAACAGUGAUCUGGCGGCGAAGGUUCUGAUGGUCGAUGGACCGCGCAGUCCUCCGGAGAUUUCCCCGCACCGACGGAGGCGCAGGUGGAGGCGACCCGUCGCAUCCCCAUGAGGAAUAUCUCCCCGAGCCUUUCACGUCGCUGCAGAGAGAAGAACUUCGUCGCCGGAACAUGGAUGCACUACACACUCUUAUCGUUGGAGAAACACCCGAAGCUCGUGCCUUGGAGGACGCGCGCCUGGCAAACUUGGCUGAGCGCACUCGACUGGAGAACCUCCAGCGAGCACUUGACGAGCGUGCGCGACAACGGGUUCCAGAAUCCAGUCGACGUCAGCUCUUUCCGCCCUCGCAGGUAUAUCGAACUCCGAUUCAGAAUUUAGCAGCUGCAGCCCGUAUAGCAGAGUCGAUCAAGCCUUCCCAAUCAGAGGCUGGCAGAGGCUUGCUGCAGAAAAGAGCGUUACUCCGGGCAGCAGGAGACCAGAAUUCCGCUGUUUCUCAGUCGCGGAACAGGAUUCAUAGCAGAUCCAUUGCUGCAGACACAGUCCAGUCGGCUCAUAGUCCAAGAUCGCCCCCGAGGCGUGAGGGACGUGGGGACCGGCGUGAUCAGUACGGAAACCGUGAGCAGUAUGAUCACCGAUUCGAUCGUGACGACCGACGUUGAGUGCCCACCCCUUCCCCGAGGAGUGGAUCGUAUGUGCCUCGACAGCAGGAUGACAGGCGCCCUCAUAGUGUUGGGCGAAGGAUUCCAGUCGACCCCAGGGAACCAGGCUUUGAUGCGAGAUCCAUUCUCGUUCAAGGUUUGGUCGACAGGAACAGAGCUCGCCGAGAAGGUCACGACAGAGAUGCACCUACCAGCAGCAGAGUACAUGUUUCAGGGCCAGAGUGCUUUAGUAGAGCCAUCAGGGCCGCUGUGAUUCCUCCCAACUUCAGGUUGGCGACUGGAGUCAGUAAGUUCACUGGUGAGUCCAAACCCGAUACUUGGCUUGAAGACUACCGAGUGGCUGUCCAGAUUGGCGGUGGCAAUGAUGAAGUGGCCAUGAAGCACCUGCCUCUCAUGUUGGAGGGCUCGGCCAGAGCGUGGCUGAAUCAGUUAGCACCCAGCAGCAUUUACACUUGGGAAGAUCUCGCCCGAGUGUUUGUCACUACAUUUCAAGGAACAUGCAAGCGAUCGGCAGGACUGACGGAACUGCGGUCUUGCAUGCAGAAGCCGAAUGAAACCUUGAGGGAUUACAUCCAGAGAUGGAUCACGUUACAUCACACGGUAGAGAAUGUGCCUGAUCACCAAGUAGUCUGUGCCUUCAAAGAAGGCGUCAAGUAGAGAGAACUGAAUCUGAAAUUCGGUCUAACCGGAGACAUGUCUCUGAAUCGGAUGAUGGAGAUUGCCACCAAGUACGCUAAUGGUGAAGAUGAGGAUCAACUCCGGAGUGGCAAGCACAAGUCAGUCGCCCAAGAAACCGAAGGAGGAAAUUCCAAUCGGAAACAGAAGCGGAAAGCCGAGCCAGCUACUCCUGGGGAAGCCUUGGCUGUAACUCAAGGAAAGUUUAAGGGGAAACCCAAAAAGCCUUGGAACCCCAAGAAAGUUAAAGAUCAAGACGGAAAUGAUGUGUUGGAUUUGCCAUGUCACAUCCACACCAAGAAAGAUGAAGAGGGUAAGCUCAUUUACCCGAAACAUACCACUCGACAGUGUCGGCUCUUGAUCCAGCAGUUCCAGGGCAAACAACCCAAAGAUAAGGAAAAGGAGUCGGACAAAGUUGAGUACAAGGAAGACAGUGAUGAUGGAUACCCCCCAGGUCAAUUCCACCUUGAUGAUUUUUGCUGAUGUUGAAAGCAAAAGUUGACUGAAAGUUAUCAACCGUGAGGUGAAUAUGGUUGCUCCGGUGACACCCAGUUAUCUGAAGUGGUCUUAGACUGCCAUCACAUUCGACCAGUCCGAUCACCCAACGCACAUUGCCACCCCUGGGAGGCAAGCUUUGGUGGUCGACCCAGUUGUUGAAGGCACUCGACUGACCAAAGUCUUGAUGGAUGGUGGCAGUGGUUUGAACAUACUGUAUGCUGAGACGUUGAAAGGGAUGUGCAUUCCGAUGUCCAGACUCAGUACCAGCAAACAUGAGUUUCCAUGGAGUCAUUCCUAGGAAGAAGGCUGAGUCACUCGGCCAAAUUGCUCUUGAUGUGGUUUUUGGUGAUUCCAAGAAUUGCCGCAAAGAAAAGUUGACAUUCGAAGUUGUGGAUUUCCAGAGUGCUUAUCAUGCUAUUUUGGGCAGGCCAGCUUACGCACGCUUCAUGGCUCGACCAUGUUAUGUGUAUCUCAAAUUGAAGAUGCCUGGUCCCAAAGGUGUGAUCACUGUUACGGGCAAUCGGAAGAAAGUAGAAGAGUGUUUUCAGAAAGGCUCAAAGAUCGCUGAUGCUCAGAUGGCAGUGGUGGGGCUGCAGGAGUACCAGAAGACUACAGACCCGAGUGAUUUGUUGCGAGCCAAGAAGCCCGCUACAGAAUCAGCUUUUCAGUCGUCUGGUGAAACGAAGCCGGUUCACAUUCACCCGACUGAUCCCAGUGCUGCACCGACUCAUAUCUCAGCAACACUCGACUCCAAAUAGGAAGAAGCGCUCAUCUAGUUCCUCCGUGAGAACUGGGACAUCUUCGCAUGGAAGCCUUCUGACAUGCCGGGUGUUCCCAGGGGGCUGGCUGAGCACCGCCUACGAGUCGACUCAAAAGUGAAACCCGUCAAAGAACAUCUCCGACGGUCCGCCGUCUAGAAGAGAAAGGCUAUUGGUGAGGAGGUGGCUCGGCUCUUAGCAGCGGAGUUCAUCCGAGAGAUUUACCACUCUGAGUGGCUCGCCAACGUUGUCAUGGUCCCCAAGAAGGACAAGUCACUUCGCAUGUGCAUUGACUUUAAACAUAUCAAUCGGGCCUGCCCGAAAGAUCAUUUUCCUCUCCCUCGCAUCGACCAAAUAGUCGACUUGACUGCGGGAUGUGAGCGACUGUCUUUUUUAGACGCCUAUUCCGAGUACCAUCAGAUCCGUCUGUAUGGACCUGACGAGAUCAAAUCAGCUUUCAUCACUCCAUUCGGGUGCUUCCGUUACGUUACCAUGCCAUUCGGCCUCAAGAAUGCCGGAGCCACAUUCAUGAGGAUGAUUCAGAAGUGUUUGCUCACUCAAAUCAGUCGGAAUGUGGAAGCAUACAUGGAUGAUAUUGUGGUCAAGUCACGGAAGGGUUCCGACCUGCUGACUGACCUUGCUGAAACCUUUGCCAACCUCAGGAGGUAUGAUAUCAAGCUUAAUCCAUCAAAGUAAACAUUCGGAGUUCCUGGCGGAAAGUUACUCGGUUUUCUCAUUUUCGAACGGGGAAUCGACGCCAAUCUAGAAAAAGUCGGUACUAUACUCCGGAUGAAACGUCCCGUGCGAGUGCACGACGUCCAGAAGCUUACUGGUUGCUUGGCCGCUUUAAGUCGAUUCAUCUCUCGUCUCGGUGAAAAGGCAUUGCCUCUUUAUCGAUUGAUGAAGAAGUCAGACAAGUUCGAGUGGACUCCUGAAGCUGAUGCAACGUUUGCAGAGCUCAAAGCUCUGCCCUCCAUCCAGCCGGUGCUUGCUGCUCCAAUCAGCAAAGAGCCUUUGUUGCUUUACAUCACAGCCACGGGACAAGUCGUUAGUACGGUACUUACGGUCGAGCGGGAAGAAAAAGGAAAAGCCUCCAAAGUUCAGCGCCCAGUAUAUUAUGUUUCUGAAGUUUUGACCCCGUCAAAGAAAAGAUAUCCUCAUUAUCAGAAGCUUGUAUAUGGGAUUUAUAUGACCACAAAGAAGGUUGCUCACUACUUCUCUGGUCAUUCCAUUACGGUCGUCAGCGACGCUCCAUUGUCAGAGAUCCUGCACAACAGAGAUGCAACUGGUCGAGUGGAAAAAUGGGCAAUUGAACUCCUUCCUCUAGAUAUCAAGUUUGAGGCAAAGAAAGCUAUCAAGUCCCAAGCAAUAGCAGAUUUCGUCGUCAAGUGGAUUGAACAACAACUGCCGACUCAGGUUCACUCGGAGCAUUGGACCAUGUUCUUCGACAGUUCCAAAAUGCUGAAUGGUUCCAGUGCCGGAGUAGUAUUGGUCUCCCCCCGAGGAGAUAAGCUCAGAUAUGUUCUUCAAAUCCACUUUGAUUCCUCCAAUAACGAAGCAGAAUACGAAGCACUUUUAUAUGGGUUGCGCAUGGCCAUUUCACUCGGCGUCCGUCGCCUCAUGGUCUAUGGCGACUCAGAUUUGGUGCUUAAUCAAGUUAUGAAAGAGUGGGACGUCAGAAGUCCGGCCAUGACUGGUUAUUGCAAUGCAGUGAGAAAGUUGGAGAAGAAAUUCGAGGGGUUAGAACUUCAUCACAUACCCCGACUGAAAAAUCAAGCAGCUGAUGAUUUGGCAAAAAUUGGUUCCAAAAGAGAAGCCAUUCCCAGCAACGUGUUUUUGGAACACAUCCACACACCAUCAGUUCAGGAGGAUCCCUUCACUGAAGAAGCCCCGCAGCUAAAAAGUGCCACGGAUCCGAUUGAAGUUGAAGUUCCAGCUGUGGUCGACCUGAUCAUGGAAGUUUUGGUCAUCACUCCCGACUGGACAGUACCGUACAUCGCGUACAUCCUAAGGAAAGAACUCCCAGAGGACGAAGAAGAGGAUCGAUAGAUCGUCCGUCGAUCCAAGGCCUUUACAGUCAUAAAGGGACAGUUGUAUAGAGAAAGCGCGACUGGAGUCAGUCAGAGGUGUAUAACACCAGAAGAAGGUCAAAUAAUCCUUGAUGAUAUCCACUCGGGGACCUAUGGUCAUCAUGCGUCCUCUCGGACCAUUGUGGCUAAAGCAUACCGAGCGGGAUUCUACUGGCCAAGAGCGAAUGAAAUGGCGAAAGAGAUAGUCGACAAAUGUGAAGGAUGUCAGUUUUACUCCAAUAUGUCGCACAAACCCGCGUCAGCCCUGAAAACCAUUACACUUGUCUGGCCCUUCGCUGUUUGGGGACUGGAGAUGGUUGGACCACUGAGAACGGGCAGGAGCGGCUUCACUCAUGUGCUAGUAGCAGUCCACAAGUUCACCAAAUGGAUUGAAGCUAAGCCUAUCAAGAAUCUUGAUGCUUGCACUGCUAUCAGUUUCAUCAGAGAGUUGAUAUUCAGAUAUGGAGUUUCGCACAGCAUCAUCACUGACAAUGGGUCAAACUUCGAUUCCGACAAAUUCAGAGCCUUUUGCGCCUCUCAAGGCACACGAGUCGACUAUGCUUCAGUCGCUCACCCCCAGUCGAAUGGACAAGCGAAAAGAGCAAACGGCUUAAUUCUCAAAGGACUGAAACCCUGACUGAUGCGCGAUCUCAAGCACACAGCAGGUGCAUGGGUCGACGAGCUUCCAUCAGUUCUUUGCGGAUUGAGGACAACCCCGAACCGAUCGACUGGAAGAACCCCAUUCUUUCUAGUCUACGGAGCCGAAGCAGUUCUGCCGAGUGACCUGCUUCACAACGCACCCCGAGUCGAGCUCUACUCUGAAGAUGAAGCAGAACAAGCCCGCAGGACGCAGUCGACCUCCUAGAAGAAGAAAGAGAAAUUGCCAUGAUCCGAUCGACCAUCUAUCAGCAAGACUUGCAUCGAUUCCAUGCCAGAAAUGUGAAGAGUCGAGCCUCCCAAGAAGGAGACUUGGUCCUCCGAGUGGAUCAACAGAAACCACACAAACUCGCUCCUACUUGGGAAGGUCCCUUCAUAUUUACCAGAGUCCUCCACAAUGGAGCGUACCACCUUUAUAAUGUCGAUCGCCAGAUUGAUGAGCCACGAGCCUGGAAUGCGGAGCUGCUCUACCCCUUUUAUACUUGAAUUCUUACUCAGAUGAGAUGUAAUAAGAAAAACUUCUGAAGUUUAUUUAUCAAAGACAAGAGCGUUAUAAUUUUCCCAGUGAUUGAUAUUGUUUUUGUUUGCAUGAGAAAUCCCCCAGUGGGUGGCUUAGCUGCGAAUCCGUUUCGCUUAAGUUUGUAAAAAUAAUUUCCUACCGAGUGGUGAGCCAGCCUCCCACUCGGGGGCUUAGCUGCGAACCCGUUUCGCCUAAGUGUUUGAAAAUCCUACCGAGUGGUGAGCCAGCCUCACUCUCGGGGGCUUAGCUGUAGUCAAGUACUCGCCUAAGUAUUUGAAAAUCCUACCGAGUGGUGAGCCAGCCUCCCACUCGGGGGCUUAGCUGCAGUCCAGUACUUGCCUAAGUAUUUGAAAAUCCUACCGAGUGGUGAGCCAGCCUCCCACUCGGGGGCUUAGCUGCAGUCCAGUACUCGCCUAAGUAUUUGAAAAUCCUACCGAGUGGUGAGCCUGCCUCCCACUCGGGGGCUUAGCUACAGUCCAGUACUCGCCUAAGUAUUUGAAAAUCCUACCGAGUGGGGAGCCAGCCUCCCACUCGGGGGCUUAGCUGCAGUCCAGUACUCACCUAAGUUUGAAAAAUCCUACCAAGUGGAGAGCGACCCUCCCACUCGNNNNNNNNNNNNNNNNNNNNNNNNNNNNNNNNNNNNNNNNNNNNNNNNNNNNNNNNNNNNNNNNNNNNNNNNNNNNNNNNNNNNNNNNNNNNNNNNNNNNNNNNNNNNNNNNNNNNNNNNNNNNNNNNNNNNNNNNNNNNNNNNNNNNNNNNNNNNNNNNNNNNNNNNNNNNNNNNNNNNNNNNNNNNNNNNNNNNNNNNNNNNNNNNNNNNNNNNNNNNNNNNNNNNNNNNNNNNNNNNNNNNNNNNNNNNNNNNNNNNNNNNNNNNNNNNNNNNNNNNNNNNNNNNNNACACAUCCCAAUCCGCAGGGACGACGAGGUGUAGGUCGACUGCCACCUUCUCCUUCGGAGCUUCGCCACAAAUACAACAUGCGCUCCAUCCCAAUCCGCAGGGACGACAAGGUGCAGGUCGACUGCCACCUUCUCCUUCGGAGCUUCGCCACAAAUACAAUGUGCGCUCCAUCCCAAUCCGCAAGGACGACGAGGUGCAGGUCGACUGCCACCUUCUACUUUGGAGCUUCGCCACAAAUACAACAUGUGCUCCAUCCCGACCCGCAAGGACGACGAGGUGCAGGUCGACUGCUACCUUCUCCUUCGGAGCUGCGCCACAAAUACAAAAGUUGUCUCGAGUGAAGAACGAGUUCNNNNNNNNNNNNNNNNNNNNNNNNNNNNNNNNNNNNNNNNNNNNNNNNNNNNNNNNNNNNNNNNNNNNNNNNNNNNNNNNNNNNNNNNNNNNNNNNNNNNNNNNNNNNNNNNNNNNNNNNNNNNNNNCAGGUCGACUGCCACCUUCUCAUUCGGAGCUUCGCCACAAACACAACGUGCGCUCCAUCCCGACCCGCAAGGACGACGAGGUGCAGGUCGACUACUACCUUCUCCUUCGGAGCUGCGCCACAAAUACAAAAAUUGUCUCGAGUGAAGAACGAGUUCCACUCGACGGAGAAUUCAUGAAGAUAUUCAACGAUAAACCAAGUUCAGAUAAAUCCUAAAGGUUCCAGACCGCAGAUCGAAGUGCUCGGGCAUUCAGCCCGAAAGAUUUUAAUGGUUACAAAAACCACUCGGCAUUCCGAGGCAAAUUUAAGGUGGGGCACAAAAGUUAGUUCACUCCACAGGAGGAGGACUGGCAGGCUCGACGAACUCGUCCAGGUCGACGCCAUCGGUGAUCCGAGUGGCUGCAGCAAUAGAAGUCUCCAUAAAAGAUCAGAAGUCAUGCCUCUGGGUGUUGGCGACCUUGAUUGCUGCUAGCUUAUCUUGUCGCACCUCCUUGCAGUGGACACGAACCAAAGACAGAGCCACAUCAGCACCACACCGGGCAAAAGAUUUCUUCCACUCCUGCACUCGGCCAGGGAUCUCGUUAAGUCGAGUCAUCAGAGACUUGAGAUCAUUCUGGAGCGUGGCCCCUGGCCAAAGUGCCGUGUCGAUCCGUGACAUGGCGACCUUCAGUCGAGCCAAGUAGUCCAUAACACCGUCGAUGUGGGAUUCUAGUCGGAGCAGAUUCAUGGCAGUUUCAUCUUUCAUGGGAGAGUUGAUGGGGUCCAAACCUGGCUCAAUCCGCCCAGUCUCCUCCUCGAAGUUCUGGCAAAACUCUGCAUUCAUGAUCCAAGGAUAAGUCAAUUUUCGUAUGCUGAGUCGACAAAAAGAACAUCAGUCGGAACAAAAUGUAUACCUUCAAGCUUGAUGAACAACUUCUUGGCAAGGCUCCUUAGAUAACUCUCCAGAUCGUCCCUCCUGCGAGUGAUGCCUUCCAUCUUCUCGUACAGGUUGACAUUGUUUUUCUUCAAGCGCGUGCACUCCUUGUUGGCUUCGUUCAUGGCAGAUUUCAUCUUGGCGUUCUCUUCUUCCAAUUGGCCGGCUGAAGCCAGUUUCUGUUCAGCCAGAGAGGUUCUAUCGUCAGCUUUCUUUUGAGCAGCAGCCAAAUCCUGAUCCUUCUUCGCCAGAGCUUCGUUCAGUUUUUCUGUAAAGAAAUGGUGCUUGAUUUAGAAAGAGCAGAAGGGUACUCAAGCCUAAGACAAACCAGUCUACAAGCUCGUCUUACCAUUGGCGUCGUCCUUGGCCUUUUGCAGCUCUGUCUUGGCCAAUUCCAAGUCAAGGUUUAGCUGGAUCUGCUGUUUCUCCAAGUCAGCAAAGCGAGCUCCAAGAUCGCAAGAUUUCUGCAAACAGGGAGGGGAAGUUAUUUUACAGCGAAAAACGACAAAGACAAUCAAUACUAAGACUACGGUCGACUGCCCGCAGUCCACCAUAGUCUCGGGGACUACACCCAGUAGGUGCACUUUGCGUGCCCCCACCGGUUCGGUUUACACUCGACAUGGCCAGACCAGAUCGAGCGAAAGAAUCAAAAUACAAAGACUACAGUCGACUGCCAGCAGUCCACCGUAGACUCAGGGACUACACCCAGUGGGUGCACUCAGCGUGCCCCCGCUAGUCCAAAAAUUCAAUCGACGCACCCAGUGGGUGUACAGAUGCAAAGAUUUUCGGAAAGAGAGUCUCCAGAUAGCAUAUCCUAACAAAACAAGCGGUGACCAGCUAACCUGAACAUUGCUUUGGAGAGCCGAGCUGGCGUCAUAGGCGGCCUGACUGGCGUCCCUCACCAUCUUCACCUUCUCCAUCAUAAUGCCCGCCUGGCAUAUGGCUUCCUUGGCAGCAUUCACUUCGUCCUCUGGGACAUGAUGGAUUGCAAAAACUGAAGGUGGGUCGGCAGGAGCUUGAGCAGUCGACGAAGAAGGCAGGGCACUCGACAAUGGUACGGCGAAGGUAAGAGAACCCCGAUUGGCAUCACCAGCGUCCUGAACGACUGGUUCCGCCAUCGGCGUCGAAUGUGGCACCUUGCUUGCAGGAGCUUUCCUAUUUUUCCUCGUCAAAGGCCUCUCAGGCUCCUCAUCAUUAUCAUCGGGGAGGUCAAUAGUAUUAGGAGCUGUUCAAAGAUCAAUCGCCAAAAUCACAUCACCCAAUGGUACACAUUGCAGUUGAGUCGACCAAAUAAAGACAGAAUGACAGAAAUCAUACCCAGAUUGGAAGUGACUACAUCCUCCAUUACCUCGUCCUCAUCUCUGUAAGCUAAGGUCCCGGAAGUAGCAGCGCUGCCAGUUCCAAAGUUCGUCUGGUUAAAUCAAGAAAAAAUAAACAGCACGGAGCGUUGAGUGAAUACAAAGGGAGACACUCACGCAGAAGCGACGGGGAUGUCAAUCUUAAUCUUCGGCAACGCCUUCCGAGGCUUCUGCUCUGCAACUUUGAGAUGCUUUGACACUUUUUCAGUUGGGGUUGGUGAAGAUGUCCGAGGACGCUUUGAAGACUGACCAGUCUGAGCAAUCGCCUUUUCACGGGCGCUCGGUCGUUCUUGGUCAAGCUUGGAUCGCCUCUCCCUGCGAGGAGGCGACUCGACUUCUUCUUCGUCACUUGAGUCGUCGCUUUCUUCAUCCUCUUCUCCGUCAGAAUGCCAUUUGCCACUGUCGCCGCCGCUCGCCUCUCCUUCCAGAUCUUGCUCUUGCUCUCCGUUGGGCACUGAGUACAUUUCGAUAAGGGCCUGAAAGAAAGCAGGAAGAAUAAAGUCAGUCGACGCAGUAUAGACAGCUGCGCUAGUGGAUUCAGAUUAUAAUCAAAGGCUCAGAACCGGACCUUUUCUGGUUCGUGGGACUGGUCGAAUGGAGGAACUCUCCUGGCUCCCCUGGGGUUGUCCUUGUUUCCGGUGAUGCCCGACAGCCACCCCUCCAGUGUGUCGUCAUCAACCUCCUCCGGGUGAAUCCGAGUGGUGUCAUCAAGACCCGAAUACAUCCACAUCGGAUGGUCUCGAGCUUGAAGAGGCUGGAUGCGCCGCCGAAGGAAAACCUCCAAGAGAUCCAUACCAGUGACCCCGUCACAGAUAAGCUGGACCACUCGUUUGACCAGCACCCUAACUUGCGCCUUCUCCUCCGGGAGCACCUUCAAAGAGGAGGGUUUCCUCACUCGGUCCAUGGUAAAAGGAGGGAGGCCAGUCGACUGCCCUGGCGUCGGCUGGUCUUUGCAGUAAAACCAGGUCAACUGCCACCCGCGGACCUAGUCGGGAAGAAUCAUGGCUGGAAAGGAACUUUUCCCUCUCAUCUGAACACCAAGACCCCCACACAUCUGAAUCACUUGUGUUCUCUCGUCACUCGGAUUGGCCUUUUUCACCGUCUGAGAACAACAGGUGAAAAUGUGCUUGAAAAGACCCCAGUGAGGCCGACAACCCAAGAAAUUCUCGCACAAAGACACGAAAGCAGCGAGAUACAUGAUUGUGCUGGGAGUGAAGUGGUGGAGUUGUGCCCCAAAGAAAUUCAGAAAUCCCCGAAAUAAAGGGUGAGGAGGCAAGGAAAAUCCAUGGUUGACGUGGGUGGCAAGGAGAACGCGCUCACCCUCCCGAGGUUGCGGCUCGGAUUCCUUCCCCGGAAGUCGCGCCGAUCCAUGGGGGGUCAGUCCUCCAUCGGCUAGAUCAUCGAGGUCUUCUUGGCAGAUCGCCGAGCGGAUCCAGUCGCCCUGGAUCCAGCCCUUCGGCAGGCUGGCUCAUGAGGAAGAUCCACCCCGACUGGUCGCCUUCCCCUUCGCCUUUGCCGUUGCCUUCUUCGCCCGCUCUAGAGCCGCCGUCUUCUCCUUCCCCAUCGUCGCCGGCGAGAUGCGUACGGAGCGGCGCGCUGGGGCGAGAGCGAGCGCGACGAAGAAGCCUGAAGAGGAGAAGAGGAAAUGAGAACGCACUGUUCAAGAAACCCCGGUCCGACGCCUUAUAUGAGGUCGCUUCUGAGUGGCUGGCUGGUAGGCCCGGACGAUCCUGUCAAAUCCCGUAACAAUCGCGCGCGUGAUACGUGGCGAAAAAGGUGGCGCGGGGAUCAAGGCGGCUCCACCCUAUCCCAUCCGAUUACUGCGGCCUCCCCCGUCCCGCGCGCUUCCCAAAAUUCGAAUCCCGCGAAACCUGCGAGCAGCAGAACAACUUGUCAGACGGAAGAUCUCCUCCACACCGUCACUCGGAGCUUUUUGAGUAAAGAAACUCACUCGACAAAAAACUAAGAAUGGAUCAAUGCGACUGAAAAGGAAGUUGCUGUCAUCACUCAGGUUCAUUGAUCCGAAACAAGAUAUGCUCAUGGCAUGAAAAAUGAGUCGGAGAAGUUCUCAACUCCUUCCCCACUCAAACCUCGAUCCAUUCAGGGGCUAAUGAUGAAGCUAUGUACCUAGGGUAGGGUCAUGGACCUGUCCUAACUGCCCUACCCAAGGACAUCUCUAGAAGAAAUCACCUUUCCAUCGACUUGGAGGUGUUCCACUCGACAGACUCGAAGACACUCGACCAAGAAGCAAUCACUCGACCAAGAUCCAACCACUCGACGGCCGGGAGACCUAAAGUCACUCCGCAUGCUAACGGUCGGUCAUUAAGUAGCUUUUAUGGUCAUCAUAGCACUUUAUUAGGGGCGUUACCAGUAAUGCUCGACCUUAAUGUAUUUGAAACCCUGCAUAACUGAGGGCCGGAGGGGUCUAGCGAACUCUAUAUAAGCCACCCCCUCCUCAGUGUAAAGGGUUCGCACCCCUGUAAUUCAUACACACAUAAUCCAGUCGACCGCCUCUGGGCUCCGAGACGUAGGGCUAUUACUUCCUCCGAGAAGGGCCUGAACUCGUAAACCUCGUGUGCUUACAACUACUCCAUAGCUAAGAUCUUACCUCUCCAUACCUACCCCCCUACAUUACUGUCAGACUUAGAACCAUGACAGUAUGCGCUAGGAUUCCCCCCCUAAAAAGCUUCACAACUUUUGAGCAGAUCAUGGUCUAGAUUAAAACAUGUCCUUUACUUAUGAAGGGGUAAUAUAGAAAAUUCACAUUAUAAAAACACUUGAAAUAAAAAAUAUAACGAGCGCUCUAGAAACCCAUGGCGGCUAGUGCGACUUGUUUGGAGGUAUUCGUAUCCUUCCCAACCCUAAUCCACUACCCCGGUCGUCCAUGUAUCUGUCAGAAGUGUUAGACUCCUCCACUUUAUCUUACUCCUCACAUUACCAUCAUCCGACAUAGUAUGACGACAUCUUAGCCCCUUGUAUUCACAUCACGCGGUGUUCAAACCGCACAAGCCACGAGGCCUUUUUUUAACGAGAGUGGUGUACCCAAGCACCCCUACUGAAAUUGGCAUUCCCUUGAUCCAAAGAAAGAAAGAGUAAAAAAACCAAACACUCCCCCCCACACACACCUCCAGUGUUCCUAUGCACCGAAUUGUACACAACCAAUAGUUUCUACAUUACUACAUAUGAAUGAUGCUUACAGUUGAAAUAAAAGGCAACUCAUUGUCGCUUACAACUAAAUAGAAAAAGGCUACUAGGAGUAGAGUUUGACAUGGGCCAAAGUAAGUGCAUUAUAUAUCCUUAUUUCUAGUGCGUGAUUGCCACCCAAGAUUGCAAUAGAACACCGGGUCAACUGACAAUCCAAUCCCUGGUGUUCUAUUAUAUCUCAAGUUAAAUACUAAAAAGAGCUACUAUGAGUAGAGUAUGAGAUGAACCAGAGUAAGUGCAUUAUGUAUAUCCUCAAUUAUAGUGUGCGGUCACCACCCAAGAUUGCAACAGAACACCAAGUUGGUUGAUGAAACCAAUCUAGUCCAAUCCCUUAUUGAACUAAAAGUCGGUAUAUGUACUUAGGAGUUGCCUAACUAAAGCAUGCAGUUCAACUUGAUAGAUCUAGUAAGAUUCAACUCGAUAAUCGUUUAAUUCCUAAUGGUUUUUAGAAAAAAAAUAGUUACAAUAACUAACUCAAACGAAAUAUAAGUGAACAAUCAAACAUCGAACGGCUCCACAUGGCUUCCAAAUAAAAGUAAUUAUCAGAUCGAGUAAUAAAUUGUUUAUUCCUUGCUCUCAAUAUGAGGUUAUACAUAACAUAUUUUGGUCUAUCGUAACAAGUACUAGCUAGUAUUUCAGUCUCUACUAGCAAAUGUUGCAAUAGCAAACAGCCUUCAUGGCGUUCUUCUUCUCACAGUGGUAGUCCUUGAGGCUGCCCUUCCUAUCACGUGCAAACACCUCACACGUGGCCUUGCACAGCGGCUUGGUGCAGAAAAACUCCCCGCCGUCGUCAACGACCGCGCAAUUCUCUGCACAACACCAACAAAACAGAAACCACUAUAUUAGAAUAUUAGCGACAAACCCCCCAUUAGAUUAGAUUAUACGUGUUUGACAAACACAAUUAAACACACCUGCAGAAAUAGGAGUACCCACAAGUGCUAGCACCACGAGGAAGCAAACAAUAGCAGCCCGUGUGUCCAUCCCAAGAGUUCUCUCUUUUUUUGAACUAGGAAGGAAAAAUAUGUGUUCUCUUCGUCUAUUUUAAUUUGGCUAUGGGGCUAAUGUUUAUGUCUUGGAGUGCUUGGAGUGUUGUCUUAUAUAGACUUAUUGAAAGGGACAAAAAUAAAAGCAUUUAAAUCCUUGUUAAACUUAGAAAAAGAGAUAGAGGUGAGUCACACCCCAAAAAUGGAAGCACUUAAUGCUGGGUGAGAAAUUAAAUGAAAAAGGCAAAGAAUAUAUGAGUGAUGUUUAUCUAAUAAUUAAGGCUAUAAUUUUCGACUACAAAAUAAGCAUGACCAUUCAAAAAAAUGGAGUCAUCGUUUUGUGGCUGGUGACAUUGAUCAAAAAUGUUUUUGUUAUAAAAAAUGUCUAGCCACUUUAAUUGCAAGCACCAUUGUGCACUGAAAUUCAAUUGACUUCAACAAAACAAUCAAUAUGAAUUGCAUCUUGAUAUGUAAUCAGCUAAAACUAAGAUUGUAUGUUGUCUCGAGUUGACUAAAUCUCCAUGUUUGGCUAGACAAUGUUUCAAACUGUGUCAAUUUGCACGGCACCUGGGACAAUGCAAUGUCAAAUCUUGCACUAUUUUAAACCACCACAAGAUAAGCAACCUGAGUUGGGCCCAUGCCUCUUGCCACCCGCUGGCGUCCACCUCGAAAUCUAUACCAAUAUAAUUUUUGUGUCACAUGAAUCAUAUAGUAUUGGUCUAAAAUAUCUUUUCUCUCGUUGCAAAAUAUAAAAGAAAAAUCGGCACAACAAUAUUAUAUAGACCCAUCGCAACACUAGCAUGCUUCACAGUGGGUGGGUCCCAUGUAAAUACAUUUGGAAAUACCUCAAAAAUGCAUAUGUGUAUUAUUUAUUAUUGUCCAAGAAUUCCACAUGCUCACUCACAACAAACUGUUGAAGAAUUCCGUGCAACUUAGAAACUAACGUAUGCAACAAUGUGAUCACAACAUUUGUGUUAGGACUUACAAAACUACAUUACAUUGUAGCAUGUCACACAUGUGUAUGUAGUAUAACGCAAAUGAGUUCACAGCAGACCAAAACAACAAAUGGUAACUACAAAAAAAUUCCAUAAAUCUAACAUUUUACAACCAAAAAAUUUGGUGGGCACUGACCUCACCUCAUCAAACUUGCUCUAAUAUUCUAGUUAGUGUAAAGUUUUGGUUUAAGCUAAAGUUGCUCUAGUAUUAUACCACAACAAAAAGGAAAGAAAUGGGGGAAAACAAAGAAGAGCAGAGCAGGGUGGGUUACUUGGAUCUAAGCCGACCAAUAUAAAUCGCAUUGCCCUCCUAAAUCCUGAUUACUCAAGCCGGCCCAAAAUUGAGGGGCCACUAAAAUAGAAGUUGAGCCUAUGGUGCAAGAACAGAAAACCCGCCUAAGCCAUUGGAUUGGAUAUGGAUGGCACAUGAUCUGGUUGAGCGAUCUCAGGCCACUUAAUGUAUAUUUUAUGAAAAAAACCUAUUAACAGUUAGGUAUAAAACAAAACAUUGGCGGUGACCACCUUAAGUAUCUCAUCUCCCAAUCCAAUAGUGGAGUUAACGACCAUUUACAGAUUUCAGGUUUUUUCCAGCGACCAUUUAUAGAAUUUGCACAUCCUCAUAUCCUAUAAGUUUUAUAAAAUAUAUUUUCACAUAUCGAGCACAAAUAUAUGGUUGUAAGAAUGAAGAACUCAUACUCAUGCUUGUUUUAAUUCUAGUAUUUACACCCCUAAGGUUGUUAAGGUCCGGUUACAAAAACUCAAAUUUAAUUCUCUUAUAAGAACUUGGUAGAGCCCUGUCAUAGUGCACAUCCUCUCAUGGAUUCGAUAACUCAGGUUUGCUCCUUCGGGAAAAGGCAGGGAAACCUUUGCUAUCCAAACCGGAUCUCAAAGAGCACCACCCAUCUCUCACCCUACUCGAUGAUACAACAUCGACAACAAGGUACGUGUGUAACAAACCGUCUGCUCCCUCGCUCUGUCACUAUGGUGCUAUUCAUCACAUCAAGUCGGGACCCAUUUCCUUCCUUUUGAGGUUAAAAAUUAAGGUUUCUAGUCUAUAUGAGGGCCUUCGGAUUCAACUUAUAAGAAUGUUAGUUCAAAUAUAAUGAUGAUUAUUUCAAGUGGAUGGUUAUGUGAACUAUGUUGGUAGAGUGGUGGGCGAUGACUGUUGCGGCGGACUUCAGGGAUGUUUGAUCUAUCCACCUGGCUUGAUCAAGCAGCAUCGACAUUCGUGCAUCAUUGUUUUGUUGAAUGUGUUGGUUCGAUUUGCUUGUUGCAGGGGUGAUAGCCUCUGGUCCGACGUUUGGUUACACGAGACAAUAAGCUCCCCUUGUAAAGGUGUAUGAUGUGGGAAUUAUGUGUUGUACUCCUCAGGUGCAAACGCACGUAUAUGUGAUGUACAGGAGUAGGCCACGACCUCAACUAUACAAGGCAGCUAGGAGGUGGGCCCAAUACACAAAUAUGCACAACACAUAUACUCAACACCCCCCCCCCCACGCAGUCGAAGCGGCACUGCGCUGACGCAAAGACUGGACCAGAACUCCUCAAAUGACGCCGUAGGCAAGUUGUUGGUCAUGAUAUCUGCAAAUUGUUGGGAAGUAGGGACGUGUAAAACACGAAUAUGGUCGAGGGCCACCUGUUCCCAAACAAAAUGAAUAUCCAACUCAAUAUGCUUGGUCCGUCGAUGAUGCACCGGGUUAGCGGAGAGGUAGACCGCUGAGACGUUGUCACAAUAGACCACCGUGGCACGGUCAAUAGGGAAAGAGAGCUCCUGAAGCAGCUAGCGAAGCCACGAACACUCAGCGACGGUGUUGGCCAACGCACGAUACUCAACUCAGCACUGGAACGAGAGACCGUAAGCUGUCGCAUGGAUGACCACGAGAUAAGUGAGGGUCCAAGGUAGACACAAUAGCCCGAGGUGGAGCGACGAGUGUCAGGGCAGCCCGCCCAGUCUGCAUUGGAGUAGGCGGUGAGGGCUGUGUCGGCAGAGGCAUGAAGCGUGACACCAAGAUCCAUAGUGCCACAGACAUAGCGGAGAAUCCGUUUGACAACAGCCUAGUGAACAUCUCGAGGAGCAUGCAUAUGAAGACACACCUACUGCACGACAUACUGGAUCUCCGGUCGAGUUAAAGUGAGGUACUGAAGAGCACCAACAAUAGACCAAUAAAAAGCAGCAUCCGAAGCAGGAGAACCAUCCGUGAAGAAAGCUUGGCCUUCGUAUCAACAGGCAUAGCAGCAGGCAUGCAGUUAAGCAUGUUGGCCCGCUCCAGGAGCUCACAAGCAUACUUCCGCUUAUGAAGGAAGAAUCCAUCCAGACGGCACAGCACCUCAACACUGAGGAAGUUGUGCAAAGGACCCAAGUCCUUGAUGGCAAACUCAGCGCGAAGACGAGCCGUGAGCUGACUGAGGAGACCAGCCGUACAUGCCGUCAGGAUGAUGUCGUCGACAUAGAGCAAAAAGUAGGCCAUGUCAGAGCCCUAAUGAUAGACGAAGAGCGAGGCAUCCGAGCGGGUGGAGCGGAACCCAAGCUGGUGGAGAAACGCUGCGAUGCGGUGGUACCAAGCACGCAGAGCCUGCUUGAGUCCAUACAAGGACCGCGAAAGCAGGCACACGUGGUCGGGAAGCGUCGGGUCAACAAACCCAGUGUGCUGCUGGCAGAAGACCUGCUACUCUAGCUGACCAUGGAGGAAGGCAUUGGAGACAUCCGUCUAGUGCACCGGCCAAGCACGGGAGACCGCAACGUGAAGAACCGUGUGUAUCGUGCUGGGCUUGACGACCGGAGUGAAUGUGUCGAUGAAGUCGAUGCCAGCAUGCUGUCGGAAGCCACGGACGACCUAGCGCGGUUUGUAGCGAUCAAGGGUACCAUCGGGACGGAGCUUGUGUUUGAAGACCCACUUCCCGGUAAUCACGUUGGCGUGCUGGGGAUGGUUAACAAGCUGCCACGUUCAGUUGUGCAUGUAACAUCCCAAAUUUUCAAUUUGGAAUGUUAUACACUAGAUCAUCAUUGCAUAUCAUAUUUAUUGCAUUUUGGUUGGUCCUAGAAAUUUUUCUCAACUCAAGGACCAUCGGAGAGAGUUGGGGAUUUCGUUAUUUUCAUAUUUGAGUUGUCUCUAAUUUUGAAAAUAGGGUCAUUUGAUUUUAUUUAUUUUAUCUUCAAUAAAUUUCUAUCACAAAAAUAUGAGAGAGGGAAUAAAAUGACUUUCCCAAAAUAAAGAAAUAUUGAGGAUUUAAUAAAAAAUCAAAUAAGAUUUUAUUUGGUUUUAUUUGCUAUUUAUUUGAAUUAGGAAAAAAUGCGCGUUUUUCAAAAUUGUAUUUAGGCCCCAAAUAAAUGUUCAUCCUGUGCGGCUUGAUUUUAGAAGCCGGAGAAAAUUUAUUUCGGGAUUUUUGGAGUCCGUUUAGUAUUUCUUUUAUUUUUUUUUCUGCGCGUUAUUAUUAAAAAAACGCGAACUGACUCCGGGCCGUACCCGAGCGGGACUCCGCCCGGGGCAGCCCUUAUAAGCCGCCGCCCGGGGCCCGAGUCAGCCCACCCGGGCCGAAACCCUAGCCCCGAUGCCGCCAGCGCCGCCGCCCGCCGCCGCCUCGCCGCUCGCCGGACCCGCCGCCCGGUUUUUUUUAAUCCGCGGUUUAUUUUUCAGAUUCGUUUUUUUAUUAAAACGGUUUUUUCGGUUUAGACUAAUUAGCGAGCUUUCGCUCGUUCGUUCGUUUUAACGAACAUGUUCGUCGUUUAGAUCCAGUUAACGAACGUUCGUUCGUUAGACUGUUCGUCGUUUUUCUUUUUCUCGGAUUAAAUCCACGAUUUUUCUGAUCGCGAUUUCUGAUCCGAUUUUUGUUUUAGUAUAACUUUUCGCUCGUUUAUCGGAAUCAGGCGAUUCAAGCGCCUGGAGUUUCGUCUCAAAACGCUCUUUCCGUUUAACCAACUUAAACAAGUUUUUGCCACUGUAAAAAUUGCCCUAGACCCAGAAUAGUAAACGAAGUCUGUUUCUUUUGCCGUUUGUCUUUCGUUGCUUCGUUCGAUUUGAUUCUUUUUGCCAGCCGGAGUUCUUAAGUUGAACUUUCUGGUUAGAUCUCUUAUUUGAGUUUUACUUGUGCAUUAGUUGAGUACUUAUUGUAUGCUUGUUUGUUUGCGAUAGAGUACCCGGAGUGCACCGCUUGUUACAUCGAAUCACUAAGUUUCGCGGAUCAUCAGCAAGGCAAGUAACACUUUGAUCAUACCCUCUACUACCCAGUUUUAUUGCAUUAGAUUAACCCUUAUACAUUGCAUGAUUAGGAUCUAAUUAAAUUGUGGGUUUGGGAAGUAGUUGAGGUAGUACCUAUUACCUAUUUAUUAUCAAACCUUUGGGAGUUACUUCUACGUUUGUUUAUUUUUGCUAUGAUAUGCUAGUAGACGUGGAUUGGGUGAGUGAUAUCCAUGACAGAUGUGAGAUUUUUAAAUCAAUGGUUUAUCUAUGGUGGCAACUUAAAUACACAUCUGGGUGGAUUGAGGUACCUGGGUAUUCCAGGAUUGCCUGUUUUCUUUUGGACCGCCACCCAGGCUCAAAGGGAUCAUGAGAUUUUUCAUGCUAGAAACUUCCGUGUGCAGCCACAAGCUAUUACGGGCUCUAGCAUAGUUGACUAAGUUGUGCAAACUCUUACAGUGGUAGACUAGCAGAUGUAGGGGAUGUAGGUGGUACGGUCUACCCAUCGUAAGGUGCUAGCGCUUCUGAAAGACUAUGUCUCGGUCAUCCGUUUCUCAAACACCGUGUAGUGCGAGAAUCCAAACGGAGGUGAUCGAGUCUUGUGGGGAAAAUUGCGCAAACCUCUGCAGAGUGUAUAAACUAAUCAUGAUUAGUCGUGUCCCCGGUUAUGGACAUCUUGAGUAUCUAGUACCUGGAUUAUCAUGUGAAUCUCAACAUGUUACUAUAAAUUUUAAUUUGAUGGGUUUGUUUAAUGAUGUUACUUAAUUGGGAUUGAGGAUGCUGUCAACCAUUCUCAAUGUUGAACAACCACCAUAAUAGUUAAAUAAAAAUUUAUUCCUUUGCAGUAGGGAAAAAUUGGCUUUACGCAAAACUGUAACCAUAGAGCUUUCCACCAGCCAAAUAUGCAUAUAGUAUAGCUGUUUCAUUCCAUUACUCUCUACGUGUUACAUUGCCAGCAUAUUCCAUGUGCUGACCCGUUUUCGGGCUGCAACGUUAAUGUUGCAGACUUUUCAGACGAUGAUUAAGGAGUUUUAGGUCGUGGUUCUAUACUCAGUGAUGCCGUUGGAGUUGAUGGACUCACGUAUCUUCCAAGCCUUCCGCUGUUAUCGUUAUUAGAUGGACUUAAGCCAUAUUUAUUGUAAUAAGUUCUCUAUUGAGACACUCGAUGUAAUAAGUGUGCGAUUGCUACUCUGUUAUUUUUCCUUUCAAGUACUGUGUGGUGUCAGCAUUACUGAUCCAGGGAUGACACCAGAGCAUAGAGAUUGGACCGUUUGAGGUCUGGUCGCUACAAGAUGGUAUCAGAGCACACGCUGACUGUAGGACACGACCACUAAGCUAAAGACCUAGAUCACUACUCACUCUUCUCUUCUGGCCUCUCCUCUUUUCUAUUCUUUAGGAUGGCGGAUGCAAGGAACAAGUUCACACAACCGGACGAAGAUACACCCUUUGGACGUCACUUGAAGGAAGUCACUAGAUACCUGAACAUAGGAGUACCAAGCUUCACCGGAACCUACAAUGCCACUUUACCUGAAGAAGAGCGCUGGAUGAUUCAAGUUCAAGUUCCAGGAAGGACGUUCAUGCCAGUCAGAGCCCAUAGAGUUUUCUUUUGAUGCACCAACUUGGAGUCUAGCAAAGAGCAUGGCAGCUCACAUCGCCAUGGGACGCAUUGGAGAAUCCUACCGCAAUGAUCUCAAGGAUACUAUCUACCAGAUUUGUGGGCGCCGAGAUGAGCACUGGGAGAUGAUUAGCACCAGAAAGGAUAGAUCAAUUGCAGCUUUUAUCCAGGAGUUAAACCAGCACAUUCGACGUCAUGAGAUUCAGAUGUGCGCCGACAUGAUAGACCUGAAGAAGGCAAGGACAAGAAUCAAGGAACUGGAGGAAGAACUCAAGGCUACACGUGAAGAUUAUGAAGAGGAAAUCGAAGUAUUAGUGGGGAAGAAUGACGAUCUGAUCAAGAAGAUUGUAAUAUUUAUGGGAGGCCCUACGCCAGUAGAUGAAGACGAAGAACCCAAGGAGAUUCGCCCGGAAGAUUACAUCAUCAUCAAUGACACCGACUGGGAUAUAGAUGAUAGCGAUGAUGACUAUGUUGAUGAAGCUGGAGCAGAUAUCAUGGAGUCUGCAACCGAAGAAUAUUUCUAGUAGACCACCUGAUCAGUAGUAGUAGUCCACCAUGUAAAUAUAGUAGUCCGAGCACUUUUGCGAUAGUUAGAUCGAUUGUAUGCCCUUGUUUGAUUGAAUGAAGUGAAUUGUUUGCUUUUGCCUCAUGUGCAUAUGGGUAGGGUUUUCUCUUUAGACCCCCUCUAUUCUUAAAUCUCAUCUUUUCUAAACCCUCAGAUGCCUCCGAGACAUGACCCCAGAUUUACCUUUCCACCGGAGCUCACCCAGUUGAUCCAGCAGCAGAACACAUUGAUGUAGUUGCUAGUCCAGAAUCAGAAUCAGGGGAACAACAACAACAACCCACCACCACCACCACCACCAC